rnacentral:lncRNA from 1 species
GAGCAUCCUGUGGCAUUUUCUUCACUUAAGUAUUGGUCACAUCUGCUCACAUAAAAGCCCCUUCCAUAGACAUACGGCCCAGGCCCAUAGUUAUCGUAACAUGGGACCGGUCUUCCGUACCAUUCAUAACAUGGGCCCCCGAUAUGACCCUCGGAGCAUUGUCCACAACAAUAUCCCGGUGGUGCCGGAGGGACCGGUCUCCCGUACCAUUGAUAACAUGGGCCCCCGAUAUGACCCUCGUAGCAUUGUCCACAACAAUAUCCUCGUGGCGGCGGCGGUGGUGGUUGUGAUGGUGGAGCCACUGGAUUAGGUUUAGGACCUUCUUUGGUCUUUUCGGGCUCUUUGGGCUUGGGCUUUUCCGGUACUUUCUGUUUUUCGGGCUCCUUGGGCUUUUCAAUGAUAACAACAGUAGGCUUCUCAGGUUGUUUAGGCUUCUCAGGCUCCUUGGGCUUUUCAAUGAUGACAACCGUAGGCUUCUCAGGUUGUUUAGGCUUUUCGGGCUCUGGCUGUUUGGGCUUUUCAGGAGCUUUGGGCUUUGGAGGCUCUUUGAUUUCAAUGCUCUUAAUUACUCCACAUCCUUUACAACACAAUUUGUCACGAAAUCUCUCAGGAUCGCAGCAUACCACAGUGAUUGUCACUGUAUUAGCCUUCUNNNNNNNNNNNNNNNNNNNNNNNNNUAUACGUAUACUAUACAAUAUAAUAUAUAUAUAUAUAUAUAUAUAUAUAUAUAUAUAUAUAUAUAUAUAUAUAUAUAUUCCCCAUCAUAGUAUUCCAUGAUUGAUUUUGUCCAUCUACUUUGAAAUAGAAUUUCAAGAAAACAUAAAGAAAAAAAGCGGAUAACUAUAGUUUACUUAGAGAAUUCAAGUAAAAGAGACAUACGAGGGAAUUUACAGAGAACUUUUUUGACCUUCUUAUAGCAGCAGGAGCACUGAAGAUCAACCUUGAGCACCAUUAUAGUGGUCUGUUAAACGAUUAGUUAGUAUGAUGGGGUUAUUUGUCAAGUAAUUAAUUAAGCACAAUAUCACAGCUCUUACAGUUAUAAAAAAGAUUAAUUCACUGAACCAUAUUAUGCAAUAAUAAUGCAAUAAUAAGCUAGUUUAUUGUUGUUCAGAAAUCGUGAUGAAGAAGUAUAGAUCACUUUAGACGGAAAUAUAGAUAGAAGGAAAAAGAGUUGUGGAAGAUCAUACCUUUUCAGUUUUGUCACCACCCAUGAUUGAUCUGAACUUACAGAAAAUGGAAUUCUUUGUGCUGAGGAGGAAAACAGUAUAUUUUUCUCGUAUGAAAGGAAGAUGAGGAGAAAUGUCUUAUGAAGAAGAAAUGUAGUACUAGUAAGUAAUAAAAUAGUAGAAGGAAUAGAGUAGGAACACGUCAUGGAAGUUGAAAGAAAUGAUAUCAUCAAAAUUGGCAGCCACUAGAAUUUGGUGGGGGGACCUAAGAUUACUGACUAUAUACUCUCCAUUUGCAUAUGCUGGCUUUGAUAGUCACAUCUCACCUUCCCUUAGUUACCAAGCAAAUACUUAUUUAACAGGGAAUACAGAGUUAACUCGUACCACAUGGUAACUAUAUAUAUAGUUUGUCAACAAAAAAGUGGAUCAGAAAAUUUCUCCUCCAGAUUAUAGUCUAUAGAUGGAAAGAAGAAAAGAUAAUAAUAAGACUGAGUAAUCAAAUAAAUUUAGAUGGGAAAGAAGAAACUACAAAUAAAAAGUGUAAAUUAAUAAUCAUGGCGGCUGAACAAGGCAACUAAAUGGCUUGGCCCCCAACUUUUUGGGGUCCCCCUUUUAUUUUAAAAGUUGUAUGUUAUAUAUUAUUAAAAACAAAUCAUCCAUAUAGUGUUGGAAGGGAGAAAUUAAAUUUUAUUUUUAUUUUAUGCGGGGACAGUUGGUGUCUAAUUUCUUGACUAAUUAUAUUCAUGAAAGUCGAUGGAAAUAAUUAGGCAACCUUCGAGGGAGAGACAAGGAAACAAAAACAAAAGAGGAGAGGGACGAGCAAGGUGCGAGAUCCCGCCAUAGCCGUAACAAGUGAGGGACUCACUUACGAGCCACCCCCACAACAGGUUGGCCAUGGCGAAGAUUGUGAGGGUACCAUGUAACAUUGGUUCACAUUAUUAUUCUUAUAUUUUUGUCUUUUUUAUUGACUCUUUCAUUUAUUCUUACUCUCUCCUUAUUAACUAUUCCUAUAUUUUUUUUUUACAAAAUUUAUCGUUGUGUGCUCACAAAAGAUCAAAGUUUGCUUUUCGGUGUCCUCUUCAAAAUUCCAAGCAUUACAACAAGACAAAAACAAUCGUUAUUUUGAAGAAAUACAAUACUAUUUCGAUACCGUGAUAUCAACCUAUCAAAUUUUUUAACCAGAUUUUAUUAUUCUAAUUUUAUAUUAUAUUUUUUCAUUGAAAAUCUGUCAUUAUUGAUAUUCUUACUUCCUAAGUAUAUAUUCUUGUUUUAGUUAUUAUUAGAUUAUAUUCAAUUUAAAAUUUUCAACUAGAAAAUAUGAAUCCGGUUAUGCAAAAAGGGAAAAAAAUGUGAAGAAUUAAUUAAAUCCCAAAAGGGAGCCUUGGAUAGAUUUUUAACAAAUAAUAAAUAUCUUGAAUGAGAAAAUAUGGAAGGAUGUUCUUCAAAUGAACAAGUCACUCAUAGAGUUGAGUUAGAUGAAGUUACUACGAAAUUUGACAUAGUUCCAGAAAAUCAAGAAUUCUUAAAUGAUUUGAAUAACUGUAUCUCUAAAAAUAUAUACGAUCCAAGUCAACGGAAUAUGGUAGAUACAAAGUUGAGAGAUCUAUUAGCUAUAUUAUCAAUUGAAAUUGAAUUAUGAGAACAAAUCGAUUAUAAGAUAAUAAUUAAUGAUUUUGUAUCUAAACGCUGGAAAAAUAGUUUUAAAUUAAAUAUAUAUGACGUUUUUAAAAAAAAAAAAUUAAGGCAAUAAAGUUUGGUUUAAUGCUCCAAUCUUGUUGAGCGGUCAUGUUAAUGAUAGGACAUUUCUUCAUAUCUUUUAAAAGUGCUAGUGGUCGCAAAAUAAAUACUUUACCCCCUUCAACUUGUACAAGAAUCUCUUUUACACCAACAAUGUAGCAAAGUUUUGUUUCACUUUUUGUGCUUUAAUUUCUAAUCUGUAUUUCUCUGUCUUAUCUCUAAUACAUUUGAAAUUAAGUCACAGAACCAACGAGAACGAGGGAGAAUAAAUAUAGCCAAAUUGAUAUUGAUGAUGUAGAAAGUCAAAGGUAUAACAUCACAAUUCACAAGUUUUAACUAAAUAAUGUGCAAAUCCUUUUAGGUGAAAGUUUAGUGCCGACGGUGGGUAUGGAAGGCUGGCAGUGAUGGGCCUAACUUAGUCAAUUAUAACCCUUUAAUUACUUGGAAUUUUGGAAACUGAGGAAAAGGAAGUUCUCAGCCGGUCGGUGCCGGGUCGGCCCCUAAAUCAAAGAGAAAAAGUAGAACGGGAAAAUGAAUGAGAAAUGAUUAAUCUGCAUUUGGUAAUUUUCCAUUCCUUCUUUUCCUCUAGCAGCAUAAACUCUACCAAUCAGACAGGGAAACGUUGAAAAGCAAUAACUAUGUGCGAAGUAGAGGGGUCAUUUUUUAAAUACCGUCAAUAUUUGGGACAUUCGACUAAGGCUAGCCCCUUACGGGGCUAUUUUUUUCAAUCUCCACACUUUUGCAGGGGAUCUUUACACAAAGGGUGAAUUUAAAAAAAUAGUCAUAUUUACAAGUGAUAAUUGAAAAAAAGCUAUAGUUUCAAAAGUAAUCGAAUUUUAGCCAAUUUUCAAGUAAAGAUAAAUCUGAAUGAAAACACUGUUCAGAAUCCGAAAAAUAUUUCAGCAUAAUAUGCUGGAAGUUCAUACACAGGUGCUCCAAACUCCAGUAUAUUAUGCUGGAACUUUCCGUGUGUUGGGAGUUCCAGCAUAAUAUGUUGGAAGUUCAUACACAGGUGCACCAAAUCUCAAAUAUAUUAUGCUGGAAUUUUCCGUGUUGCAGCAAAAUAGUGACUAGUUUUUCAAUUACUUUGCAAACAUUGGCUAUUUUUUAAUUACCAGUCCGAAAACUGGCUAGGUCGUGCUACUUUUACUUACACAAAUAGUCGUCCAUAUUUAAUGUUUACUUUUUUUGUCAUAUACAUAGUUUAUACAUUGAUUAUAUAUUAUUAUAUACAUAUAAUACAUAAAUUAUGCAUAUAUUAUACCUCUCUCGACUAUUUUUAGUUUAAGUGGUUGGGUUUAAUUAUUCCUUUCGCAGCAGCCAUGUGACUUGUGAGUAAAGCCCAUGACAUCCAGAUACGGUACCGCAUUGCCCAUAAUAGUGGAGAGACCCAAUACAGAGAAAGAUCAUCUGGUUUCUUGUAUUAGCAGAAAUCUUUUUGAACUAUAUUUGAAAUUACAUUCUCCUUUAGUUAUUAAAGUGCUUUGUUUAGUUUUGGUUUUUUUCUUUUCUGUAGAAAUAAUACUGAUAUGAGUUAUAUCACAAACAUCCCGUUACGUCUUCUUUUAUCAACUCUCAGUUUGUUCUUAAUGAUGCUUACAAUAUUGAUUUUGAAAUUAUAAGUAUCAUUUCAAUUCACUAUGUUUAUUUAUUACUAUUAAAUUUCUCUCUGCCUCUCUCUAUAUAUACACAUAUAAUGGCAAUAACUUUUAUCCAAUUUUAAGCAAAACACGUAUUUUUGUAUUGUAUAUCUAUUUUUAUUAUUAUUAAUGUAUAAACCAAUUAUAAUAUAACAUUUACAUAUCUCAAGUAUGAUACAAUAACCUACAAAGUAGAUUAUAUUAAUGGCAUAUUAUAGCCGGUUAAAUUACAUUCUUCAAUAGUAUGUAUAAUUUAAACCUAUCGCUAUAUGGUAUUAUAUGGAUUUUCAGUUCAUGGUAUGACUUACCUAAACUAAACUAAACCCGCAAAAGAAGCGAGAGCCAACAAGAAGCACUACUAAAAAAACAGUUGUUUACCGACGCAGCAGUAUCGAUAGACUUUUUUUCGACGUUAUUCCGAAGGAUUUUCCGACGGAGUCCCUCGGUACUUUUGAACUUUUUAAUUUCUAUUUUUUUAAAAAUAUAACCGACGGACAACUUUCGGUGUCUGUCGGUGCUUUUAAAAAAAAAUGAAAAAGAAAAUAAAGUUAUCGACGUACUCAAUCCUACUGCAUUUACAUAAUAUUUUGAAUUUUGUUCUUACAGUACCGAUGAACUUCCGUCGGUAACUUAAAUAUAUAAUCUUAUAGAUAAUUAUUUUGUAUUUUUUAUUACACAAUACCAAGGGAGGCCGUCGGUAAGUCCCUCAGUAAGUAUUUACUUAAUUAUCUUAGUGGUUGAUUAGCCUAUUUAUUAAAAUUUGCACUAAGUGAAGGUAAUACACUACUUAAAAUAUAUUGGUGGUAAUUAGCUUAGUAAUUUAUAAUUACACAAAGUAAAAGUGAUUUUGUAGUAUCCUUAACUACAUUGAUUAACCUAUACAUUAAUAAUUAAACACUAAGAAGAAGUGUAUUAGUCAUUUCCGUAAGAAAUAUUAGUGAUAGUUUAUCUUAUAAAUUGAUAAUUACUGUAAGUAGAAGUGUAUUAAUGGUGUCCUUAAGUAACGUUAACAAUUGAUUAUCAUACACAUUGAUAAUAUACUAUGCAAAAGUGUAUUAAUUGUAUUUAGCUUGUAUAUUGAUAAUUACACGAAGUAUAAGUGUAUUAAUAAUAUAUAUGUAAGUAAUGUUGCUGAUUGAUUAGCCUAUAUACAUUGAUAAUAACACUAAGUAUUAGUGAACUAGUGGCAUCCUUAUAUAAGUAACGCUAGUGAUUGAUUAGCCGAUACAUCGAUAAUUAUAUUGUCAUGAUCUAAAAUUCAACUAGUCGUGAUGACACCUAACCCAACCCGUUAGGUAAGCCAACUAAUCACUAUCCAAUUCCAACGUAAUUUAGCAAGACAAUUAUUAAAGAAAAUAUAUGAAACUAUUACAUUUCCCCAAGAAUGGGUAGUACAAAUCAUGAGCUUCUAAUAAUAGAGUAUACAAAGCUGGUAUGAAAUAAUACAUCAUCUAUUUGAAAAGUACAUAAACAGAGUUUGCAUGAAUCAGGCUACCAUGAAUAAGAGACAGCAACAACCGGAACGCAGGUACAACUUCAAAUCCGGUAACCAUCGAACACAACAACAACGACAACCAAUAUCUGCACGCAAUGUGCAGAAGUGUAGUAUCAGUACAACCGACCCCAUGUACUGAAUAAGUAACAAACGUAGCCUUAGGUUGAAAGUAGUGACGAGCUUGUACCAAGGUCAGAGUCCAACUUUCAUAACCAACAAUAGUUCAUAACAAUAUAAAAUAAGUAAUACCAGAAGUAACUCAAAGAAUAAAUGCUCAACUAAAUCGUGACUUCUAAAAAUAGUUCUGCCUUUCAAGUACAUCAGUGAAAACCCAAAUCGUUUACCGAAAUUAUAAAAAAUAUGAAUAAGUUUGAAUCGUUUACCGAAAUUAUCAAAAAUAUAAAUAAGUUUGAAAAUAGUAAUUUUUCCAAAAUCCUUUCAAUAAUAAAUAAAAUGUCUCAUUUUCUUUCGAGAUAACCAAUAUAAAACAAAUGUAUCACUAUGCCUAUCUGUCAAUAUUUGUGAGAAAUCAUGAAUAAUGUUAUAUCGUAGCAUGAGGAAAAUACAUCUCUAUGCAUGUAUGUCAUGUGUGCACGUCAAUGCAAUGUAUCUCAGAAAUUGUACUCAUGUAUUCACACUCUUAGAGUACUCAAUCUCACUGUCUCACAUUCUCUCUCACUAUGUUUAGUACACUCAAUCACUCAGCGCUAUAUAAUACAUGUUGUUGCGUACAACCUGAUCCCUGUUUAUAGUCGACUGUGCUCACUGGGGGUGUGUACAUACUCAUGAGGGGCUCCUACAACCCAAGCGCUAUAAGCACGGCCAACUCACGUGCUGCACGACCAACUCACGUGAUGCACGACCAACUCACGUGUUGCACGACCAACACACGUGCAAUAGUAUAAUAUAUGGAUCCGCACAGCCAACUCACGUACAAUAAUAUAAUAUAUAUAAAGCCAAUAUGAUGUGUUGUGGCGUGCAAGCCGAUCCCAGAAAAAAAUAUCUUCACAAUCAGGCCCCCGGCCUCCCUCAGUCAUCAAUCUCUCCGGUCUCUCUGUCAUAGGCACACAAUGUCAUGAGAAUAGCCCAAAAUGAUGAUAUGAUAUAUCAAUAAAUAACAAUAGAGACUGAGAUAUGAUAUGUAAUGAAAUGAAUAUGACUGAGUAUGAAUUUUCAAUUUAAAAUAAAUAAUUCAUAAUAAUAUGACCUAUGUGGUCCCAAUAAUACUGGCACAUAGCCUCAACAUGAUUUUCAAUAUGCUUUUCAGCUCAAUUUCUUUAACUCAUAAAACCGGAUGGAAAAUGCCAAGAUCAUUUAACUACAAAAUUUUACUGAAAUAAUUAUGUCACAAUUUCUAUAGUGCACGCUCACACACAUGUCACCUAGCAUGUGCGUCACCUCCCAGCAAUUCACGAAAUACAUAUAUUCAAGGUUCAUACCCUCAACUCCAAAAUUAGAAGAGUUACUUACUUCGAACAAGCCAAAUCCAAUGUCGAGCAAGCUAAGCAAUGCUCCAACAAUUCCACACUGUGCGUAUCAACUUUCAAACGGUUCGAAUCUAGUCACAAUUAAUUUGAUUCAGCCCACAAAAUUUAUAGGAUUAAUUCCAUAUCAAAAUACUAAUAUUUUCACAAAAUUCGAAAUUAUUCGCCAAAAAUUACUCGUGGGGACCACGUCUCGAAAUCCGACAAAACUCACAAAAUCCGACAACUCAUCCAAUUAUGAGUUCAACCAUACUAAUUUCACUCAAAUCCGACUCUGAAUCGGUGUUCAAAUCUCGAAAAUUCAUUUUAUAAAGUUUCUACAAUUUUUCUCAAAUUUCCACCUCAAAGUACUAAUCAGAUGAUGAAAUCAUUGAUAUAUUCAUGUAUAUUAACCAAAUUCGAGUUAGAAUCACUUACUACGAUGAAUUUCUUGACAAAACGAACGAAAAAAUACCACAAACCGAGCUCCCUAGAUCCAAAGUGUGAAAUAAUACCCUAAACCUUAGAUAUAUAGUACAUACUCUGAACUCCAAAUUCGCGGUCAGCGAAAUUCUAAGUGCGGCCGAGCCCCAUGUCCCGCGGUCGCGAAAAUAAUGGUGCGGCAGCGAAAUUCCUGGGGUUGCACUGCCAGGCUUUAGUAUUUUGGACAUAACGUUCUCUACAAAUGUACAAAUUAUGACUUAUUUAUCUUUUUUGGAAAUUAGACACGAAGGGCUACAUCUUUCGUUUUUGCAUCAUCUCAAAAUUCCUUAUAGAUCACAAGAUAUAGGCUUCUGAAGUUGUACCAACGAAUCUGCAGAACUUCCUGGAGCGCGGCCUCAGACAGAAUUAUGCGGUCCGCGAAUAUUUGAGCGCGGCCGCGAAAUUCUGCUGCUGUCCGCGUCCCUCCUUCGCCUCAGCGCCCAAAAAUGUGCGAUUCGCGUCCCCAAAAGUGCCAAAACAAUAUUAGAGUGCCGAAAUAUUCGGACUCGCUCAAAACUUAUCCCGAAACUCAUCCGGAACCUCCCAUAUACAAACCAUAUAUGAAUUUCAAUCAUAAAACAUGCUACGGACCUAUUUGCGCACUCAAAACACUGAAAAGAGGUCGCCUUGACCCGAUAUUGACCAUGACCAAACUCACUAAUUUCUUAACUUUAUUAAUCUCUCAACCAAUGAUCCAAAAAUACACUCAAGUCCCUCGGGAGCUCAACCAAAUAUACCAAUACAUUCCAUAACAUAACACGGAAUUACUCGAGGCCUCAAACCAUAUCAAAUAACAUCAAAACGACGAAUCGCACCUCAAAUCAAAAUCUAUGGACUUUGAACUUUCAAAUUCUAUAUCAUGUGCCGAAAUAUAUCAAAUCAAUCCGGAAUGACUUCAAAUUUUGCACACAAGUCAUAAAUGACAUAAUGAAACUAUUCAAUUUUACAGAAUCAUAUUUCGACCUCGAUAUCAAAAAGUCAACCCCCGGUCAAACUUCCCAAAAUUUAACUUUCGGCAUUUCAAGCUUAAUUCCACUACGGACUUCCAAAUAAUUUUUCUUACACGCUCCUAAGUUCAAAUCACCAUACGGAGCUAUUGCAACCAUCAGAAUUAAAUUUUGAGGUCUUUAACACAUAAGUCAAUAUCCGGUAAAUUAUUUCAACUUAAACUUUCAACCUAAAAAUUUAUUUUUCCAAGCUAACUCUGAAAUACCUUUAAACCAAAACCAAAAAUUCAUACAAGUGAUAAUACCUCGUAGGAAAUUAUUUAAGACUUCAAAUAGUUGAAAGGAGCGUAAAUGUUCAAAACGACCGGUCGGGUCGUUACAUAUACACUAAAUGGAAGUGUAUUAAUGCUAUUUGUGAGAAAUGUUUGUGAUUAUUUAAGUAAUAUUAGUGGUAUCCUGAAGUAACGCUAGUGAUUCAUUAGCCUAUACAUUGAUAAUUAUACUAAUUAAGUAGAAGUGUAUUAGUAUUGUCUUAAAAACUAUUACUGAUUGAUUAGCUUAUGCAUUAAGAAUUACACUAAGUAUAAGUGUAUUAGUAAUAUCAGUAAGAAAUAUUAGCGAUUGAUUAGCUUAUAAAUUAAUAAUUACAUAAAGUAGAUGCAUAUUAGUGGUAUGCUUAAGUAAUAUUAAUAAUUGAUUAGCCUAUCUAUUAGUAAUUAUACUGAUUAAGUAAAAGUUUAUCACUAAUAGUCUUAAGAACUAUUACUAAUUGAUUAGUUUAUACACUGAGAAUUACACUAAGCAGAAGUGUAUUUGCAAUAUCAGUAAGAAAUAUUAGCGAUUAAUUAGCUUAUAAAUUGAUAAUUAUAAAAAGUAGAUAUGUAUUAGUGAUAUCCUUAAGUAAUAUUAGUGAUUGAUUAGCUCAUAUAUUAAUAAUUAUACUAAUUAAGUAGAAGUAUAUUAAUAGUAUUCUUAAGAAUUAUUAUUGAUUGAUUAGCUUAUACAUUGAGAAUUACUCUAAGUAGGAAUGUAUUAGUAAUACAGGUAAGAAAAUUUAGUGAUAGAUUAGCCUAUACAUUGAAAAUUCUACUAAGUAGAAGUGUAUUAGCAGUAUUCUUAAGAAAUAUUACCCAUUGAUUAGUUUAUAAAAUGAUAACUACACUAAGUAGAAGUGUAUUAGUGAUAUCCUUAAGUAAUAUUAGUGAUUGAUUAGACAAUUACUUGAUACUUAACUACGUAAAAGUGGUUUAGUAGAAAUUAGCUUGUAAAUUAAUAAUUACAUUAGCUUAUGAUUUAUUUUAAAUUAUUAAUAGUAAUUUUAUUGUUAAUUAAUGCUAAAAGAUGAAUUACACUUUAUCAGGAUUAUUUAUAUUUCAUGGUCAAUUUCGUUGUUAAUUAAUGCUAAAAGAUGAAUUUCUUAAUAUAUGUUAAAACAUCUAAAAACUCAAUUAAAGUGGACGGGAAGGAAUAAUAAAAUAAUUGAUCACAUCUUGCUAAUUACUACAUUUGCUUGAAAAUAUUACAACUAUGGGCAUAAUAUUUUCAGAAACUUUAAUAUUACACAUAAAUUCCACUACACAGAAUUAAAGUAUUUGAUAAUUAAGAUAAUUGAGUGGUUUACCUCUUUCCUAACUGCGCCGUUUCAGCCUCUAACCUCACCUUCAUUACACUCUUUCUUGCCCCUAAAUUUCACAACACGUUUUCCUCUUUUUGCCGUUCUUCUUCUUUUACUGGGAGCUUGUCUUUGUUUAUAGUCUUUGUUCUUCUACUGGGAGCUUGUCGGAGUCAGAACCUCCGUUCAAGUCGGUGGUUUGGGAUGUAUUGAGGUGGUUAUCAGUUGUAGACGAAGGAGACUCGCGGCUGCGAAAGCGGUGGUUGGUGUUAGUGUGGCUUUUUUGUCCCCAUUUCAAUUGGGUAAAGAGAAAUAAUGCAGUGGACGUGACUUGACCGAUGCCGUUGCCAUUAUAAGAAUUGGGCAAAGAGCAAAACCCUACUAAGACCUUCAUGCAACUUUAUCUCGGUGAGUUUUUUUCUCUCCCAUUAUGAUUGAACGUGGUUGGAGGCGUGUACAAGGGUAGAGCAUACGACCUUUCCUUCGAGCACAAUUUUUAUCGCCUCGCGUGUGGACUGCAACGUAUAUACUUUCGCUUAGUGCGGAGAUUUGUCAGAUGUGGUUCUUGUAUGUUUGAAAAUUUUGAUUAUUCUUACUUAGUGAUAAUAAAAGGUAAUUUUUUAGUACUAGAAUCUUGACUGCAAUAAUAAUUUGUGUAUAACUAGCUUGAGUUUUUUAGAGUUUCUGCUUCUAUGUAUUAUCAUACACUAGGCUCUUGCAAAAUGUGGAUACUUGACCUUUCAAUAUUGAUAAUGUUUGCUGAUUUUCUUUCUGAAAUGGUAAUGGUUAUUUUUAUUUAUUAUGUAGAUAUCGCAGCAAAGGUACUUUCUUUAAUUCAGCAUAGUACAAAAUUUUGUGAUUUGUGGCAAAAACUGACUUGUAAGUAAAAACAAUGGGGACCUUUAGCUCUCAGAUUGAAGCUGAAGAUUAUCUUUGGUUUGCCAUUUGGUAAAUCCAUGCUAAUCUCAUCUCACGAUGAGAAAUAACUUUACGACUUCAUUAAUAGGAGGAAAAUGUGUCAUAAAUCACUUAUAGCAUCUAGGUAGACAUGUUGCAGGAUUAUCAGAUACAAUCAUUCAACUCUACUAUGUCAAAUUGUAACAGGUUGAAGAAAUUAUCAUGCACUUUUAAAAUUGUUCCUGAUGCAUAUGCACCUUCUAAAGAUAGAUAAUUGAUUUCAUUAUUGUUUCCCCCAACAGAAAGCAAUUUUUUGAACUGUCUCCUAUUUAUGAUGGUAAUGCCAGCUGUUUCUAAUUGGGAUACUUAUUUAAUCAUCUGCUAUUCGAAGACUCUGUUUGAUAGUGCAUUCUAUUAAUUUCAAUUAUCAGAAUGUUUAUAAGGAUGAAAGAAGUUAACUUUUUUCAAGUAUGGGAGGUGUAAGACAAGUGAGUCUGUUAGCUUAGAUAUCUUUAUGGUGAGUGAGGGUGAUUCAGGUGUUUAUAACUAGAGGUAUUUAUAGAGAAUGGCACGUGGAUAGUGAAUUGUGGUGGGACUGGUUAACUGUCCUUGUUAUAUUUUAGCAUAAAUUCAAUUUCUGUAUUUGGCUUUGUUGUAGCUUAUAUUGAUUUAAAACAUUUAUCCAAAGAAAAAAAAUUAUUUAUUAUGACUCAUAGAGGGAAGAGACAAAAGGAGUAGGCUUUUUUCUGAAAAGGGAGUAGAGCUCUAACAAAAUGAGUUUGUUAGUACUAUUUCUGAGCCUUUUUAGAAGAUUGAAUUCUAAGGACCCGUUUGGACAUAGAUUUUGCCAAAAUAAACUUGAGUUUUAUUUGGCAAACACAUAUUUGGCCAUAACUUUUGCCUAUAUUUUGACAAAAUUUCAUAUCCCAAAACCUGCUCAAUAGCUGGUUUUGGGCCAAAUCCCUAAUAAUACACAUAUUUUUUCAAAAUAAAUUUGGGAAAUAUAUUUUGAAAACGUAUGUCCAAACACAUUUUCAUCUUCAAGCCAAACUUCACCCAAAACAAUUUUUUCAAAACAAAUUUAAGAAUCUAUGACCAAACGCUAGCUAACACUUUAUUUUGAUGGUAGUUGGUAGGACAAAAAUAUUUUGCCCCAUACUUUCUUGAUUCCUAUCUACCAUAGUCGACUUAAAAAACCAAACCCCUAAUCAUUUCCUUUUUCUGUUCAUGUUUGUUUUGUCUUUAGCUCCAAUUCACUAUCCAUUUUGAAAUAACCCUAAUGAACAUUUAGUGGUGAAAUCAAACAUUGAUCUUGUCUAUGCCAAACAAUAGUGAUAUCAUCAAUGAUUCAAUGGGUGCAGAAUUAUUCUAUUCUAACUCUUCGUGUAUAUUUUUCACUUUUCUUUUGUGAAUUACAAGGUAUUGGGACAUCCGCCACCGUACAAAAUGAGGACCUUAAGGAGAUGCGGCGAAUGAUUCAACAACUUUCUAGAAACUAUGCAGGUGAACGAGAAAAAAAAAAGCAUGAAGAGAAGAUUAGAGACGCACUUAGGAAUGACAUCGACUCCCUUAAGGCUCAAGUGAACCACUUAAUCGGCCUGCUCCAUUCUCCGCCAAAAAAGCCACAUUUAUGAAGAGGAUGAAAGUGAUGGAAAUAAUAUAAAUGAUGAAGAAGAUGAGAGGGAAUCCGAAGAAUGAGUGAUUUUAUGUUUGGUUGGAUUGUUGUUUAGUUGGAUGUUAAUUUUGAAUGUUACAUUUUGAAGUUUGGUCGGAUAGUUUUGAUGUUUGAUGGGAUAAUUUGGAUGUUUGGAUAAUUUAUAAAGUUUUGUUGUUGUUAAGUUGAGUUUCAUUGUGGUUGCAUUUCUGUUUCUAUUGUAAAAUUCUGGCUGGCAGGUGGUGCAACAAAAAAUAGGCACUCCCUGCCAAAAAUAUACCAGAUUUACCGAGGGACUUACCGACCGAGUUCGAUGGAACACUUAUUCAUUUUCAAUCCAUAAUUCUUAAUUAGCGAGGGAGUCCGUCAGUAGACGUGAACCAAAUUUUCAAAUUUUGUUGAACAUACCGACGGAUAUCCAUCGGAAUAUGAAUUUAUUCAUAUUUUUAAUUUUUGAAUUACUAAAUUAAAAUUCUAAAUUUACCGAUGGUAUCCGUCGGUAAUAUUAAAUUAUUAUUUUUAAUUUACCGACAGAUAUCCGUCGGUAUUGAUAUUAUUAAUAUUAUAUUAUUUUAUAAUAUAUCGCCGGAUAUCCGUCGGUAAGUAAAAUUAUUUGACCAACUAUUGUCAGAAAUGUACCGAUGACUUAACGAUGGGAUCCAUUGGUAUUUAUCGAUAGAUUCUGUCGGUUUAUUUGACCGAGGAAGGUUUUACCUACCUACCACUUACCGACGGACUUCCUUCGAUACAAUCUUGUUACCGAGAGACGUCCGUCGGUGAUUUGCGUCGGUAAAUAAGUAAUUUUUAGUAGUGAAGUAAAAGGAUAAUAAAAGGAGUCUCAUGUACGUACAACCGAACCUAAUGAGAUUUAUAUGCUGAAAUCUCUUAAGCAUAGAAGUGUAUAAUAUAUAGUAGAGAGUUUUUUCCUAUACAAAUGCUUUCCCUGCUAUUUAUAGAGAGGAGUAUAUAUAAUUGACUUCAACUUGAAUUUUGUAUCAUUUAACAUGUUUAAAUAUUUAGGUAUAUACGUAGUACACCCAUCGUUCUGUCUCAAUUAAAUUAUGUUAUGAAAUUUGAUGUGACAUAUGUUUAAAUGAUCAUUCCAACUCUAUUGAGAUGAGGCAAUUCAUCUCUUUACUGUCGAUUCUCUCAUUUUGUAGCAAAAGAAAAACCAAAAGGAAUUAGAGGAACACUAUAGUCCAUAAGUGUGAGUAAUGUAAUGAUAGUGGAGGCGUCAACUUGUAAACAAGAAGACAGAUUCAUAAAUCAAUCAUCUUCAAAAACUCUUUUCAUUAUAACAAAGACCAGUUAUGACGAGGAGAUAACAUUUUAUCACCACACAUGUCACUUCAUAAAUGGCCAUUGGGCUGACUCAAAUGGAACCUUUUGACUACUAAGAUAUGUUUUUGGACUUAUGUCAAAUGGAUUCAAAACAUAAUAUAUAGAAGUAAAAAUAUAUUUUGCCUUAUAUAUGCAUUGUAAUUUUUUGGCGAAAGAGGUUUAAAAUAAAUAAAAAAGUUUAUAUUAUACAAAUAGCGUAAAAAUAAUUUUUUUGAUUUUUCAUAAGAAAAAGUCUAGUAAAAUGACAACGAAUCCAAAAAUAACCGUCAUAGGAUCAAAUCUUAUACAUGUGAUCUUUAUUAUUUUUUAAAAAUCGUUUGUAUAAAGUUCUAACUUCGCCAUUAUUAGACUUAUAGUGGAUCAUUGCGAAUGAAACACAAGAAAUGUUUAUAGGAUUAAUAUUCAUUUCCUCAUGUUUCCAUGUCCAUUCACCCUUCUCUAGCUUUGAAGAUCCUCCUCUAAUUAAUUGAUAUGUACAACCCAAUAUUGUGCUAGGAUUUUCAGUUUCCCCGUUUUCAACUUUCUUUUUCUUUUUCUCUUCUAUUCUUUUCAGUUAUUAAUUCUCAUAUAUAGGGAAUUGGAAGAGGGGACCUUUGGAAAAUGCAUUGGCUCCAUUCACCUAAUAAUUCAGAGAUUUUAUAUAUCUUUCUAUACAUACAAAAAGUAAUCUUCCUUUUGACAUAUCUGAAGUGUACGAAUUUUCUUGGCCGUUUUGGGUUCUCUCAAUAUUCUUUUGCAAUUAUUAUGGUAUAACCUGCACUUUGGAAUUGGCUGUUUGGAUAUUAUAGGAAUUGAAGAACAAAAUAUCAAAGACAAAUAUUUCAAGACUUUAAAUUAUUGAAGACAAAUUGUUAAUGCAUCCACUAUUUGUUUUGACAAUUGUUGUAAGUUAAUUAAUAUAUGUAUUCUUAAAAAGAAUUUAGCCACCAAACAAUACCUUUAAUUUAGGAGACAUGUAAAAAUUCUAAAGUUCAUUAACAAUUUCUUAUCAGCUCGCUCUAUCAGAAAAUUGCUUAUUUUUUAUUUUACAAUUAUUAGUUUUCCUAAAACAAAAAGACUCUACACAUUCUCCCAACGGCCUUUUGUAUUAUAUAACUCUCCAAAUCCACAAAUAUGGUUUUGCUUAUUUAAAAUCUUUAGUUCUUCAAUUUAAAUGGUCAUAUAUGUCAAAUAAAUUACAACUUUAAUUUUUAGAUGGAGUCAUGGAGAGAGUUCAAUAAUUAAAAUUUUCCUUUUUAUAUCAAUAAUUAAAAUUUUCCUUUUUAUAUCAAUAAUUAAAAUUUUCCUUUUAAAUUACAACUUUAAUUUUUAGAUGGAGUCAUGGAGAGAGUUCAAUAAUUAAAAUUUUCCUUUUUAUAUCCAUUCAAAACAAAGAUCAGAUAGGGGAAAAAACAAGUAAAUUAAAACAGUGACUAUAAUAAAAUGGGAGAUAAAAGGAAGAGGUUUUAGCCAAAAUUGUCCCUUAUGUUUGGGGUAAGUUUAACUUUGUCUUUUAUCUAUUGUCCUGAGCACUUAUUGUCUUUAAAGUUUGCUAAACUUGAGCAGUUUUAGUCCACUUAAGAGUUUUUAGACAAAAUUGUCCCUUACAUUUGGAGGUAAGUCUAAUUUUGUCCUUUAUCUAUUGCCCUGAGCACUUAUUGUCCUUCAAGUUUGCUAAACUUGAGCAGAUUUAGUCCACUUAAUAAAAGAUCCAAACUGGUGGGUAAAAAAACUUUCAGUACUCAAGUUUUGCAGAACCGAUGUAAAGAACCUAAACCUGUUUAACGGGCCAGGUUGACCCGGUUCCUGACCGGUCUAGACCGGUAGUAAAUCAGACUGGCCUGGACUGGUGAAGGGGGCCGGGUAGGGCUGGAUUUGGGGUUUAGUCCGUAUAUUUUUUUUACUGGUUAACCGGACCGGUCAAUAAAAAUUAUUGUUGAACCGGUUAACCGCCCCGACCCGGUUGAGAAAAAUAGUGACCGAUCGUCACUAAUCCUGGUCGGUUGCCAAGUUUUUAAAAUCGAGCUUAACUAGUCUGGGCUCAUCCGAUGAAAAAUUGAACUGGAACGGUUCCGAGCCUAAGGGCCCCGACCCGACCCACCCCUUUAUCACCUUUAAGAUUGUAGAAACAAGUGUGAUAAUUUUUUUAAAAAUAAUUAAGAAAAUAGUCGUUGAACCGGGUCGGUCCGGUCUAGUUAACCGGUUCAAAAGUAACUUUCAUUGACCAGGUUUGACCGAUCCGGUUAACCGGUAAAACAGUAUAUACGGACCAAUCCCCUAAUCCCCCAAACCCAACCCUACCCGGCUCCCUUUCACCGGGCCGGUCCGAAACCGGGUCAACCUGACCCGUUAAAUAGGUUUAGGUUCACUAUAUCGGUUCUGCAAAAUUUGAGCAUCAAAAGUUUCUUUACCUAGUUGACUCAGUGAAAUCACUGUUAGUUUUUUGAUCUCCCUUUGGGUCUUUUGUUAGUGGACUAAACCUGCUCAAGUUUAACAAACUUAAAGGACAAUAAGUGCUCAGGGUAAUAGAUAAAGGAUAAAGUUAGAUUUACCCCAAAAAUAAGGGACAAUUUUGACUAAAAACUAAUAAAAGUAAACAGUAACGUAAAUGACCGAUAGUAGACAACUUGGACAAAUAAUAGAUGCUGACUCAGCAAAUGGACCACUAAUGCAAUUUCAAAAAUUCCAGGUCAGAUUUGCAAUGUCACCAUUCAUUGGGCCUCUGUCCACCUCUACUUAAAUGUGCUUUCUUCUCAUUUUGCCCAACCAAAAGCAGUAAAACAACAAUAGAGACUAAAAUAGAGAGGUUUUUCAUUUGCAGAGUUUCAAAUUCAUUGAAAAUCAGCAUUGUUUAAAGAGCUGCAUUAAUAUGGGUGAGGUAAUUAAGUUUAACCUCUUUAUAUUAACACUAUUUAUAUUUAUAACAUUAUAUAUCAAUGUAGGUACUCUAGCUAUGUUUUUGUUUCUUAUUUUCUUUGAACAUAUAGGAGAAGAAAGUGGAAGAAAACAAGGAGAAAGAGAAGAAGGAAGAAGAGAUAGUGCUAAAGGUUGAUAUGCAUUGUGAAGCUUGUGCUAGAAAAGUUGCUAGAUCCUUGAAAAGAUUCCAAGGUCUCUUUAUCCUCUAAUUCCAUUGCAUUCUUUUGGUUUUCAAUUUUUUGGCUAUUUGCUUAAAUGCAUUGCAAAAUCUUUCAAAUCCCAUUUGUUCUUUUUAUUGGUUCUAGGAGAUUUUUUUCCUUUCUAAAACAAGUCAUUAAUUUAAUAAUCUUCAUUUAAUUAUUCUAUCUCCCAUUAUCCUUUGCACGUUUUUAAAUUCAAGAAUUCAUUAACUCCCAAGCUUAACAUUUAAUACCAUGAAUGAAGAGUAUACUCCAACAAAGACAUUAACUUUAUUUUAUAUAUGAAUUUUGAUAUAAAAUGGUCAUUUAUUGUGGAUCGGACUGAGUAAUAUAUAUACAAGUAUGGUUUAGGACUUGAUAUGAUUUUAUGAGUUUAUAUACGAAACUUAAACUCGAUUUUUGAUGGUGAAAUUGGAACUAUAGGAGUAGAGGAAGUAAUGGCGGAUUACAAGGCCAGUAAGGUGGUGGUAAAAGGCAAAAAUGCAGACCCUCUUAAAGUGUGUGAAAGGGUCCAAAACAAAAGUGGCCGAAAAGUUGAACUCAUUUCACCUUUACCUAAGCCACCCGAAGAAGAAAUUAAGGAGGAAAUUAUAAAGAAAGAAGAGAAAAAAGAUGAGGUAAUUUACUUGCUACUAAUUCAUUAUUAUUUCUAUAUAUACUUGUGGAUAAUCAUCUCUGUCUCAUUAUUUGUUACUUGAACAGUGCUUUAGUUCUAUUUCUAAGUUUUGAACUCAUAAACUUUAAAUUAUACUUUUAAGUCUUGUUUGGAAAUUCAAUAUUCUGGACUACGUAGCCACUGGGCACAUUUAAUUAUAUGAAGCUUAGAUGGGACCCGGGGAGAAGUUUGACCCACAGUUGGGUUUGCAAUAUAUAGCCAGAGGUCAAGGGUCAGUCAAGGUUUUGCUGCUGCAUGACCUCUUAAUUAGGCUAAAGGAACUGAAACUGGCCAGCUCUGCCAGCCAGCAAACAAUACCCGCAUCGGAGCCCAACCAAAUCUGUAUUCGUGUCGAAAAAUUCCGCCUUGAGAUAAAUCGCUCUUUAACAACAGUGGUUCCCCACUAAGGACUCGAACUCAAGACAUCUGAUAAAGGGUGAAGGAGUACUACUUACCACUUAACCGCAACCUUAAUUUGUUGGUGAUAUGAGCACAUCUUAUAAUGAGAUGGGACCUAGGAGAAUUCACGGGAUUAACAUUCAAUAUUUGAAAUGUUUAGGGUGUUGGCUAUAUAUAUACAGAGUUUAGGAAUAGUAACAAUCACAAGACAAAUUAAAGCUUGGCUUUAUCUUGAAAAUAUUAAUGUGAAGAAAGAAAGCCUGGUUGGCGAAUGACUUAAAUUAAUAUCAUAUGAGCAACCACUUAUAAUUAGCAGGACCAAUUACCCCUGUAAUUAUUUGCGACAUGCAAAUUAUAGUUGGCUUUCCUUACCAUGAUUUGGGACAUGAAAUUAGUAUUGGAAAUGCUUUUUUGGUUGUUGAGUUACUGAUUUGGACCUAAAUCUUUACACAAAAGGAUGCCAUCAGUGUAUUAAUGAAUAUUAUAUAAUUAAUCAUUUAGUUUGUAUGUACAUUCUCUUGAAUAUACUCAGAGCUAGCUAAACGGCUGUAGUGUUACAAAAAUGAAUAAGGAUUGUCCAAAACUAUUUAAGGAGACCAAGUUACCAUAUACAAUCCGAUGUAGGACAAUUCAAUAACUAUAUGCCAAACUGAGAAACUUAAGCCGUGAAUUUAUUUUGUGUCUUGUUUCACUUGACACAAAAUAAAUUCACGGCUUAAGUUUCUUGUUUCACUUUGCCAAUCGAAGGGAACCUUGGAGCAACGGUAAAUUUGUCUCUUUGUGACCUAUAAAUCUUAGGUUCAAGCCAUGGAAUCAGUCGCUGAUGCUUGCAUCUAGGCUACCUACAUCACAUCCACUUUGGGUGCGGUCCAUCCCCGGACCCUUCGUGAUCACAUAAUAUUUUGUGCACCGAGGUGCCUUUUUUUUCACUUUGCCAAUCAUUUUUUUUAAAAAAAUUCCUUGAUUAAUUAAAUUAAUAUGGAAGUGUGAAAAAUGUUUUUUUUUUCCUGGCAGCCUCCUCCGGUAAUAACGGUUGUCUUGAACGUUCAAAUGCAUUGUGAUGCUUGUGCUCAAGCUUUGCAGAAACGGAUCCGCAAAAUUAAAGGUAUAUAUAUAUCUUACUGUUUUCACAUGUUACCUUAGUAAUCCAAAAUGGUUCAGGAGUUGGUUUUAUAACCUAGGCUACAGUAUCAAGUUAAUUGCUAUUUUGAAAAUGCAAUGCAGGAGUAGAAUCUGUUACGACAGACCUUGUAAAAAAUCAAGUAGUAGUAAAAGGUGUCAUCGACUCAGAGAAGAUAGCUAAUGAUGUUUAUAAGAGAACUGGAAAACAAGUUUCAGUUAUAAAGAAUGAAGAGAAAAAGGAAGAAACUGAGAAGAAAGAAGAAGAGAAAAAAGAUAAAGAAGAAAAGAAACAAGGUGAAGCUGAGGAAAGCAAAGGAGAAGAUGAUAACAAGACAGACAUUAAGAAAAAUGAAUAUUUGCCUGCAAAAUACUACUACAAUUAUAAUAUGGAGUAUGCUAAUUAUUCCCCUCAGAUUUUCAGUGAUGAAAAUCCUCAUGCUUGCUCUCUCAUGUAACUUUUUCAGCUAUAUAUAUGCUUUAGUUAUUGUUUAUAAACAUGAUCGAUUGACAAUUGAGUUGUUUAUUACUAUUAUUACAUCAUUUUUUGCCUUCUCACCGUGUUUUAAAUUUCAGUUUCUUGUUUGAUGAGUGUGAAGAAAAAGUGUAAAUGAAGUCUCUAAAUUUGAUAAGCGAAGAAAUCGAAAGUGAUUUGAGGCAGAACUGAAAAUACAAAUCCCUAAUUUCAGAGAAGAGAGAGAGCUUCUGUAUUAUUAUCGAAAUGAUGCCUAAAAAGUGUCGUGUACAUGUGUGGCCCUUUGUAUCUUCUUAACACAAUGAAAUGAAAUAUACAGAAAAAGAAUAACUUGAGCUUUUGACCCGAUUGGGCCUAGUUAUGAAGUUUGGUCCUGGACUAUGAAAAUAGAGAUCCAACACCCCAAAAACACGAACAUGACAUUUUUCCAGAAUCCAGACGUCAUUUAAUUGGCUGGCUUGACGAAGGCAAGAUGACAUUUAACUUGGAGGGAUAUUACACAGAAGGCAAGAUGACAUCUGUGUUACUUGACUUGGCUCAUUUGGCUAACAAUUCACUAAAAGAUGGGGAUUUGCUGUCGUUGAAUAUUCACAGAUGAGCUUUUGAACGCACUAACUUGUAACUGAGCAAGUUCCAUUCAGCUCUCGAACUAUAAUAAUCAUGGGAUUAUUAUAAUCACAGGAUUAGCAGAAGUUGCAUAGUAGAUCAGAUGAAAAACGACUUGCUAUUUUAUUAGCAGAGAAAAUUAGGCUAGUCAAAUUAUAUUAGAUUAUUAGUCAGAUCACUAAUGUCUAUAUUGAAAAGAUGUACGUACGCAAGUGGAAAAAAGCUGGACCAGGUUCAUGAGCUCAAGCCUAAGUUAACUUCCCGACGAGGAAGAAGUCUAAGAUGAAGAGGAGGAAACUUAAAGAAUGAUGAACUUAGCUAUAAUCUCUGUUUACCAAACUUCAGUUUCUCUGACUAAAAAAGAUUUAUAUCGAGGAGAGAAACUGCACAAGGAAAACCCCCAACAAGCUCUUUUCCAACUCAGAGUCAGAAAGUUUUUAGGUGAUUAAAACUGAAAAGCAAAAGAAAAUACAAAAACAAAAUCUUCAAUAAUCGACUAAUCAUGUGUGAUCUCAACAGUGCCAAAAUCGUCAUAGUUGUUUCACUACAUUUCGACAACAUAUAUAUGGAGACGUCUCCCGAACAUCAUAGCUAAAUAGCCAGUGAGACGGAAAACGAAAUACCAUUACCAAAUGAAGUUGAACAUCCAGAUACACAUAGUGACCUUCAAAUAUUUCCACAAAGUGCACAUUUGGUGAGGAUAACUAGCUCUGACUUUCUUGACCCAGUGCUUGUCGUCUUGGGUAGCUGAUAGGAGCAUAUCGAACCAUUCCUCAACAAUGUUGAAGACAUGAAAAUGAUCUUCUCAAGAUGAGACAAAGUGAGGUCAAUUGAGCCAUGGUUUAUCCGAAUCUGAGAAUUGGUUAACCAACAAUGAGAAGGAUUUGAGAAAAUUUAAAAAAUGGAGGCAUGAACAACAAAUGUAACGGAAAUGGAAGAUCAUGCCGUGGAGAAAUAUUAGGUGAUAGGCUCAGAAAGUGGAAGACAAGGAUGAGGAUAGAUUGGAUAACAAUACAGGGGUGGCAGGAUGAAGAUGGGAUAGAGGUGGAAAUAGGAUACACGGAUAUUCUCAUAUUCACCAGGAGAUCUGGUGCUGCCUCAAACCAUGGAUGGAUCAAAUGCAGGUCACACUUUCUUUCCCCGCAAAAAAACAAAGAUAUCAGCAAAACUGAACAGCUUGAUGCUAAUCUCAAACUUAGUCACUUGGGUAAAUGCCAAUUUUUGUUUGCAAGUAUUUAAUCAGCAAUGCCCUCCGUUGUACAAUGUACAGCGAGUAUGCUCAUUUUUAUCUCUGAUACUAAAUUUUCUUGUGUAAUUGAACUAUUGAUAUUAACUUCAAGAAAUAUGUGCAUGGGUAAAAACAAUGCAUAUUAUAGGAAACCAGGAUUGCAAAAUAGGAUUCUACUUUUAAAGGCUCUUCUCAGUUGACCGAAAUGCAAGAAAGGUUCCUUUGGGAAAGCAAAGAAAAAUGUUAGUCAUCACAACUCAUGGAUGGAUAUCUGUGUAUUAGACAAUGGACAUCCUUGUCAACAAAUUUACCUCAGUCAUAUUAAGAAAAGAUAUCUGCCGCUCCGGUUUUUUAUACAAAAAGCUAGUUAUGUUUGCUCCAGUAAAAUGAAAACAGUAGAUUGGUACCAAAUACUUCUGUAUGAAUAAAACAGUAACUUAUGCCACAGAAAACAUCUUCCAAGUUUUCCAUCAGUUUACUUUAGUGUUGUCCUAUGCAAGAUAUGAUUAGAUGUUAUGGUAGAAGCCAAAAUAUUAAUAUGAUUUCAUUUUUCCUCAAUUCUUUUUCUAUUGCUGAUGGCAAGAGAUACACUAGAAUCCUUAUAGGAAAGCUAACGGACUCAAAAUUCAAAACUCCCCAUCUAGAAACAAGAGCUAUCCUAAACAACGAAUAAUCUACGGAAUGUACCUUUUAUUUUUGGAUAGAAACAAGGGGAGAUCUACGGAAGGUAGCUUUCAGAUGUAAGAGUACAAAACCUCUGUAGCACAAUAAUCAUCAAGGCCAGAGAACAAAGAACCUGCCCCGUUAAGAUCCUUGAUCAAAGUAAGAGCGACAAAAUAAUCGUGGACUCCACCCAUUGCUAAGCAGCAACCACCUCUUGAGCACGUCUAGACUCCAACCAUGAUGUAGCUGCAACUUUUGUAGUCAAAAACCACCCGGCCUUAUCUGGUGCCUCAUGGAAUGGAGCGUUCAACUCCUUAAGGUGUGACUCAAAUACUCCUGCCAGACCUUUCUCAGAAUAUUUAUGUUUUCCAUGUCCUGUGUUGAUUCCAAGCAGUGAUGGGAACUCUUCCCCAUUUUCAAGCGCUUUGUUCAAGUCAUUCAUCCAGAUGUGUAAUGCUGUUAAAGCUGCCCCAAGAGAGAGGCUCUUCAACUGUAAAGACCAUUGAGUUGCAGUUCGAGAUUGAAUAUCAGCUUAGAUGUUGAGAGUUAGCCCAAUAUCUAACAACUCACAAGCUCUCUCCAGCUGAUUAAGGUUGACGCAGAUGUCAAUCAAACAGUUGCAGUAAGCUUUCUGGACAUCAGUAGUUACACAAUCCAAAAGUUCAGCAGCAUGUUUCUUAAAAAACCCUUCUUCAACAAACUCUUCAUCCACCAGGAGUUUCACCACAUAACCAAGCUUCGGAUUUGCCUUCUUAAGGCAGAUAGUCAGCUUAUGAAGAUCUUCCUUUGGUGUUUGCGUCAACACAUUAAGAAGACAACCAGUAAACCGCUCAUCUGGAGAUAAUCCCAAAUCUGACAGUCUAUCAAACGUUCUUACAACAUCAUCUGUCCGGCCUGCUUUUCCAUAACACUGGAUGAGUGAGGUCAGGACAAAGAUAUUUGGAUCAAACCCUGCUUCCAUCAUCUCGUUCAAUGUGGCCUCCGCCUCCGAGACCUUCCCACUACAGGAGUUUAUGGUGAUUAGAGAAGAGUACGUCCAACUGUCAGGUUGGCAAGUCCCUGAGGCUUUCAUCUCCUAAAAAAUGUUAACAAUCUCAUCCGUAAGUCCCACAUCAGCACACAUUGCCAGAAGAGUAUUAUAUAGCACCACACUCAGCUCCAAUCCCUUCUCCUUCAUUUCUCUAUAGAUCUUAAGAGCAUCUUCACUAUAACGAGCCCUACCAUAUGCCCGAAUGAGGGAAGCAUAGGUACCCCAACUUGGUUGGAGCCCAUUGCUUAUCAUGUCCGCAUAGAUGUUCUUCGCCUGCCAUGGCCUCUUAGCUCUUCCCAUAGCAUCCAACAAACUGUUAUACGCAGCCAUAUUAGGCCUCACACCAAGCGCUUUCAUUUCCUCGUACACAUUCAAGCACCCAUCAAAAUUCCCAGCCGCCCCGUAAAUCCUAAUCAGCGUAGCAAACGUCACAGCAUCGAUACGCCACUUCUCAGUUCUCGCACGAUCAUACAAAUUCAACGCCAUAUCUAUAUUACCAGACUUACUAUACGAAUCAAUCAUCACAGAGUAAGUAACAUCAUCGGGUUCACACCCAAAAGAAGGCAACUUUUCGAACCAUUCAAUAGCUUUUUCAGGCAAAUUGCACUGCCUAGCACAACUAAUGAUGGUAGAGAAGUUACAUUAUCAGGCUUCACCUCUCUUUGAAGCAUUUCAUCAAACAACUUCUCUGCUCUGUGGUUCUGAGUUCGAGUCGCCCAAAAAAGAAGGUGGUAAGGUCUGCGUACACACUAACCUACUCAGACCCCACUAAUGUGAUUAUACUGGGUUGUUGUUAUUGUUGUUGUUUGUUGUUAACUUCUCUGUUUUGUCCAAAUCCUUACUUUUCCUCAAAACUUUCAACGUCACGUUAUAAAUAAUCACCUCUUUGCUCAAUUUCAACCUUUGUUGAAAGUAUUUCAAAACUAAAAAUGCAGUUUCAGCAUUAGACAUGUUAUUCAAAAUCACCACAGCAUCUUGUUCUACUACUUUAUCACCCAAAGCAGCUAAAACGUUAAAAAUAUCUUCCUCUACAGGAUUACAAGAAUCCAAAGACUCAAGCCAUUUUCACUAAGGAAGCAUACCUGGAAUCGUAAGAUUUUUGCCUCAACUGAGAAGCUUUGGGGCUUUGGGGAUUGACCCAGAUGUAGCUACUUUUUGAGGAAGAUGCGGUUUUUCGGGAAUUAGUGGGAUUUAAGAUGUCGGAUUGUUCUUGUAAUGAGACAUGGGUUGUUGUUAAGGUAACAGAUUUCGAGUGAAGAAGCUUAUUGUUGAGGGGGAAGUUGAGGUUUUGGAGAGAAGUGAAGUUGGUGUUGGAUUCGUAGAGACGAGACAAUAGUGUAGAGCAUGGAGUAGACGCCAUUUUCACUUGGGAAAAGGUAAAAUAUACUCUAUGCUUUCGAAAUUUGUUUAAAUAUAAUAUUCUUGAGUCCAAAUAUAUUUGUGUCGCUAUAUAUUUGGUUCAAAUAUAUCACCGUUUAAACAAAAUAACACAUGUAAUUAUUCUAUUGGCCAAUUUUAAAUAUUUUUUAAUUAAUUAAAAAGACUCAUACCCAUUAACCAUACCGAAAAGGCAAUGUUUUUGUAAAACUUUUAAAUAAACUUAAUUUUUUUACUAAAAAAUAAAAAAACGAAAAUAUUUUUUUUCCAGAUCUUACAAAAAUAUUUUUUUUAAAAAACUGAAAAAGAAUUUUCUAAACAAAAAAAGGUCCAAAAAUACCCUUGAACUAUCGAAAAUAGCUCAAUUAUACCCCUAUUUGCUUUUGGUACCAAAAAUACCCUCGCUCGUCACUCUUUGGGACCACAAGUGCCUCACACCUAAUAGAUGGCCACACGAGCCUUUUGGACUUGUUUAAUAAUAUAAAUAAGUUGAUAUGACAGUCAAACAUGGCAAAACACCUUCUUUAGUUGCAUUUAUAAUUGUAGUCCUAAGAUUCCAACUCACUUUUGCAAGAACUAUUUUCAACUAUUCCGUAGUUGUAUGUUGUAUUAUUAUGACAAGUUGAAAGCGGUGUAAUUCCAAUAAUUUAUUGUUAUUGCAAGUUGUCCAUUUGUAGAUAUAAUAAUUAUAUGGUUCUCUAUUAGUUGUUGUUAUGGUUGGAUAAAAAUGUAGCCGCAAAAAUAGUCUAAAGAACAAUAGUAAUAAUGGAGAAAAAAAUGGACGAAACUAGCAAUAAAACCAUAUCAAAAUAAUAUAGCAAAACUUGUCAAGAAAUGACCAAAAUAGCAGCAAAAUUAGCCCAAAAUCUACAGGAAAAUCGGACUAAUAAAGAGGCAAGACAACAACAAAAUUGAACCAAAAAAUACAACAAAACUACAUAAAGAGUAGACUAAUUUCAAUAGCAACAGUGGACCAAAACUGCACACAUUAAAUAUGUCUUAAAUUUGAGAGUUUUUAUUGGCUUUCUUAGACUUCAACUUCCCAACCUUCUUCUCCCUUGCCACUUCCAACUGAUUGCCAAUGAUCGCUCCUUUACCUUUCCAAUUGAGCCUAAGGGGUGAGUAUGGAAGAUUUGUGGGUUCACAAACACUAUUGUUGUCUCCUCUAAACAGAUCACCCUUGUCCCAGAUGGAUUUUGUGGAGAUUGCCUUAUGUGCAGUUUUUUUUAGCUUUAGAAAUAAUUUUAGGCAUCAAACAUAAGUCACUUUCAGGCCCUCUAAGAGGUCCAAAGGGUUCUGAUUGUUGUCUCUGAACUCUAGGCAUGGGAAUGAACACAAAUUCACCAUCUUGUGUUGGUUGAGGUGUUGAACAACCAACAUCUUCAACUACUUCAGGUUCUUCAACUUCAGAUUCAAUGACUUCUUCAAUAUUGGCCUUUUUUCUCUUAGUUUGUUUCUUGCCUUUUCCACUAUCAUCAACCUAUAAUUAACAUGCAAAAUUAUUAGUUAUACAGUUAAAAUCUUAUAAGUGAAUCUAUAUGAUAUAGUAGUUACCUUGCAUGUCCUUGAAUUAUGGUCCAAUGAUCCACAAUUAUUGCAUGUCAUUCUAGUUCCCUUCCUUGAUUGAGCCUACUCUCCUUGACUCUUACACGCUUCAUCUUUCUCUCUAUUUCUUUUAACCUUUGGCCUUCCAACUGUUUUCACAAGUGCAUGUGGUUCCAGAGCAUGUUCUGCUAACACUUUCCAAAACUUUUCACCUCUAACAGGCAUGAGCUUGACCUUAUAUGUCAUAAGGUAAGCCUCUUUGCUCUAACGUGAUCACGCCCAAUUAUGCCUUAUAAAAAGGACUAAGCGGUCACUGCAAAUAUAAUCUGGUUCAAGUCCGGAGUCGAAUCCCACAGGGAACUAACCUAUAUACUACAACUUUUAAUAAUGCUAAUGAUAAGCUCAGACAAUUUUCGGAUGCAAAAUUUUUAAUAGAGCAUAAGUGAAAUUUAUUUAUCUAAUGAAAAAUGAUAACAAAAUUAGCAAUAAUCAAGAAUAAGGUUGAAUUCAAAGGUUAAAAGGAUCUAGGGCUAUUGAUUUCCCCAAUUGUCAGAAUAAUUCCUGACACGUUAGCUAUAAUCUCACCAUAAUACUCUAUGAGGAUUAUGAGUGCCGCGCUACCGUAAUUAUCUCUUGAUCAAUUACGAUAAUUUACUAGAAGCAUUCUCUCGAACUACUCUAGUUAACAAUUUAUGCAACUCAGAAUUAUCCAACCAAAGCUUCGUUAUCUCUAACCCUGCUUUUAAAUUCAAGUAAUUAAUCUCUUAACUUACCCGAAAGUGGUGUUGUUCAACAACAAUCUAACCAAGUGUUCUUUCUCAAGCAACACAUGGUAACUAGAUACGAUUAAUCAAGGGCCCUUUCAAUUAAUCACAACACAACACAUAGUUGAACAAUCACAGAAUAAGAACGGCUCAAUUAUAUCUAAACAUAGUCAAAACUUUAUCCAACAAUUGGUUCCAUCAAUCCUAGAUGAUGGGUUUAGCUACUCAUACUAAUGGAUAAAAAUUUACUAUAACAAUUCAUAAUCAAUAAUGGAAGUAAGAAGAAGAAGAUAAAAACUCUUAGGAACUUCUCUGUCUUCUCUCUUUUGUUCUUGCCUCCAAAACCUCCUAAAAAUAGCUCUCCCUCUCUUCUGGGCGAAUUAGGCUUCAUAUAGGUUUAGGUUAGUCGCCUUAGAAAUUGCAUAAUUGCCCCUGAGUUGUUGGCUUCCGUCCGUGGCUGCGGAUUCGAUCGCGGAUCCGGCCGCGGAUUUUAGCCAGUGUUCUACCUCCAAUUCGCGGUCAACUCCGUGGCCGCGCACCUGGAGGGUACCUCCCCAUUUGCUUUUCUCGCUCCUUUUCGACUGGGCUAACCUUCGAUUGGCCUUCCACACUCCAUAUUGUCUCCAAAAUACUCAUUAGCUUCCUCCUAACUCGGAGUGGCUCCUGCAAAGCAUAAAUUCCNNNNNNNNNNNNNNNNNNNNNAACCAUUGCUCGUCCCCGAGCAAUCAAACCACACUCUACAAAGGCCUAAUUUCAUAAGCGACUUCCAUAACUCGUCACACCAAGAAUAUAUCACAUAGUUUGAGUAUACAUUAGUGUAACAUCUAUACCUCAAGAGUAGACUCUCGCGAGCCACGGAAUAUUCCUAACCGGCUUACUUACUCUAUUCCGAGGUCCAGACUUGCCUCUCCUUCGUGAAUCAAGUGCCUGCUUACUACAAAAGAGACUCAUUCCACAAUCAAUAAAAUUCACGCACACUGAGGAACUUCAAAAUAAACAGAAUUCACUCACCCUCAGAAAUGAUAUUCUUGUGCCACAAAAACGCUCCAUAGGCUUGCCCGUAGCGUACUACUCUACUAAUUGAGCUUGUUCAAUCUAGGAUCAAGUAGGACUUUAUUUUGUUGUAAUGUAGGCUGCAGGUCGGGUAGGAUAUAUUUGGAUGUAAUAGUGACUAUACCUCCCCAAGCACUUUAAUACAUAUAUUUUAUAAUCAAACCCACACUUAAGUUAAACCAAUAUUUCCACCUUCAACACCACGUAAAUUACCCCACACUUCUUUGAGCACAAUCACCUUAAAAGCUACCACAUAAUAUUAUUAAUCAUCAUGAUACACUAUUAACACACGAUAUAUUUUUUUUCAACACGGUGCACCUUUCUCCUGAUUUCCCUAGUUCCAUUAAAAAGGCCCAUCAACUACCCCACACUUUAUCCUUCAUAGAUUCAUAGUAAUUCAAGUGCUUACGAGAGGUAAAUAGUUCAAAAAGAUGGUCAAUUCAAACAAGGGAUAAGACUUGUAAUGUGGUUGCCAAGGAAACAUGAUUACAUGCUCAACAGGGUUAACUACGAUACAUAACAAAUAGGUGGGUGGAAUAUGUAUAUAUAUAGUUCAACAAAGAAAUACCUAGAUCACUUUCCAGACUAAACAAGACUACUAUUUUGCUUUGCAGACACACAGGGCAAGUUUUAGGCAUCAAAUAUCGUGCCCAAAAUACAACAAGCCUCACACACACAUGGCACAUGACUCACUCCGUAUCGGAUCAUCAAACACUUAGAUCAUAGUACUUAAGCCAAAUUAAGAACAUACAGUUUAAGGCAUUCUUACAAGAGUCAACAAAUGAGCCUAAGCGUCACACUAAGUACCCGUUAUAUUCAAGGCAUUACGAAGUUAAGAGAUACUAUUCUAAUCAUGCCCAUAGCCCAUAAGUUCCUAACUAAAAAAUAAAAAUUAACUACACCAGGUUCAAAUGCAACCCUUAGAAAAGAACCGUGGUUUAAAAAAAAUCAAGGGGGAAUUGAUACACUACUACAAAAGAAAAUCCACGCUCACCGCACCAUUUUUUUUUUCUCUUUCGACUUUAGUCCCUCAAGAAACCCGUCGAAUGAUAUCCAUCAUCGGGACAAGUCAAAAAUAAUUUAUGUAAAUAAACUACGAAACUAUUCUACAUACAACAUAUACCAAAGCAUCCCCCACCCCACACUUAAAAAGAUGGCAUGUCCCCAUGUCAUAUAAAAUAAAGUAAUGCGAGGUAAAGGAACUUCCCUGGUGGAUCAGUCUUGAUCGGAGAUAGUGCCAGGGUUGAGAUGACAUGCCCUCCCCAGCGCACGCAGACAUCCCAUGAUUUUCUUCUCUGACUUUGCAUUUUGGGUGGCCAAGGCAUCAACUCUUGUGAUGACCCAAAAUGUCAUCUUUAAAUUUAAUAAGUAAUUCUAUGUUUCAAGACCUCGAAAAGUACCAUUUAUCAUUCCUCGACUUGCGUCCAUAGUCCGUAAAAUUUUUUGAAAAGUUUUCAUGUGAAAAAUAAUUAAAAUGUGAAAUAGAGCUUUAAAACUCAACUAAGUUGACUUUGGUCAACAUUUUGAGCAAACGAAUCUGGAUCAGUGUUUUGAAAAUUCCGGUAGGUCCGUAUCAUGAUUUGGAACUUGGACGUAUGCCCAGAAUCGAAUUCCGAGGUCCCUAGCCCGAGAUAUGGAAUUUUGAUAAAAAAUUAAAAGCUUUAAAGCUUAAUGAUUUCUAAGAACUUACUAAUGUUGGAUUUAUUGACCUCGAAUCCGUAUUUUGGUUCCGCAGCCCAGUAUAGGUCCACUAUAAUAUUUAUGAUAUGUCUGCCGAAUUUGGUGCGAAUCGGAGUUAAUUUGACGUGAUUCGGACGUCCGGUUGUAAAAAUAUAAGUUUUAAAGUUUUCUUGAAAACUUCCUUUGAUUUGGUGUCCGAUUCGUAGUUCUAGGUGUUAUUUUUGGUGAUUUGAUCAUGCGAGCAAGUUUGUAUGAUGUCUUAGUACUUGUGUGCAUGUUUGGUUUGGAGCCCCGAGGGCUCGGGUGAGUUUCGGAUAGGCUACGAGAUGUUUUGGACUUUGAAAAUUUGAUAUUUUGCUGCAUCACGUGUUCUGGCAUGUCCUUCUUCGCGUUCGCGAAGGUACUCUCACGAACGCGAAGAGUAAAUUGGGCAGCUGGAUUUUUCUUCUUUGAGAAUGCGAAGGCUUGAUCGCGAACGUGAAGCGAUAGGGGCACUACCCUUCGCGAACGUGACCAGCUCCUCGCGAACGCGUAGUGUUAGGCACACCUGGGGGAGGGUCGAUCAUUCCUUUAGCGCGAACGCGAGCUAUGCCUCGCGAACGCGAAGGCCAGGGGGGAAACCUUCGCGAACGCGAAGGAGGACUCGCGAACGCGAAAGCAACGGGAUGCUACUCAUCGCGAAUGUGACAGGCCCUUCGCGAACGCAAAAAAGGUCUGACCCCUGUGACUUAAAAUAGAACCAAAAACGAGAUUUUUCCCAUUUUUCACAAACUCUCAAUUAUAAUUCGGCUUAGGGGCGAUUUCAAAGGUGUUUUUCAUGAUUUCGAACUGGGUAAGUGUUCUUUAUCAUAUAGUGAUUGUAUUUCAUAAAUCUAAGCCUAUAUUCAUCAUUUAUUUUGGAUUUAGAUGGAAGAAAUUGGAAUUUUUGUAAAACUUUCCAAAAAUGAAAAAUUAAGAUUUGAAGGUCCAUUUGAUAUCGGAAUUUGACAAAUUUGGUAUGGUUGAACUCGUAUCGGAACGGGUGUUCGGAUUUUGUGAGUAUUUCUGGGAUUUAAGACGUCGGUCCCACCGCCGAAUAUUUAAAAGAAUUUCGGAUUUUUAUCCGAAAAAUUUAUAAAUUCAUAUGAAAUUAAUUCCUAUGAUUCAUAUUGAAUAUAUCGAAUUGUUUGUGAAUAGAUUUGAAACUUUCAGAGAAAAAUUUAAAAGGAAAAGUUGUGGUUGAAUAAUUGAUUGGAAUUUGCAAAGCGAGGUAAGUGUCGUGGUUAACCUUGACUUAAGGGAAUACAACUCUUAAAUUAUUUGUUAUGUGAAUUGCAUGUGAACGACGUAUAGGCGAGGUGACGAGUGUCUAUACGUCGUCAAAUUAAUUAUUUUCCUUCUUACUUGAAAUAUCAUAAAUUAUUUUUAAUCAUAAAUUAAUUAUUAUAAUAAUUAUUUCUCUCUUAUUCUUUGUCAAAUAUUAAUUCCUGAAUUCCUGCAUUAGUUGUUACAUGCUAUUUGAAUUAUGCGCCUUAAUUGUUAUUUGACAUUUAGCAAAUUAAAUAUUAAAUUGCCUAUUUGCUCCUUGAUUUCCAUAAUAAUUUCCUAUUUAUCAUUGUUUGCUUCAUAAUUAAAUCAUAAUUAUUGUAUGCUUGUUGUCUUAUAAUUUUAUAUUAAUUGUUACAUUUAUUGAGAAAAUUUCUUUUAUAAGAAUUGGUAAAUGAAUAUGCUGGAGGAGCAGGUUGCACGCCGCAACAAUAUUGAUUAUAAUGAAUAUAUUGGAGGAUUGGGUUGCACACCGCAACAGACUUAUUAAAAGUCAAUAUUGUGGAUCGGGUUGCGUGCCGCAACAGAUUUAUUAAAAAGUCAAUAUUGUGGAUCGGGUUGCACGCCGCAACCGACUUAUUAAAAAGUCAAUAUUGGAGGAUCGGGUUGCACACCGUAACAGACUUAUUAAAAAGUCCAUAUUGGAAGAUCGGGUUGCACGCCACAACAGACUUGAUUAAAAUGAAUAUAUUGGAGGAGCGGGUUAUACGCCGCAACAGAACCGAAUGUGAAUAUAUUGUGAGAGCGAGUUGCACGCUGCAACAUAACUGAAUGUGAAUAUAUUGUGAGAGCGGGUUGCACGCUGCAACAGAAUUGAUGGAUAUGAUAAUUGAUUUUGACUGCUGCGUUAGUUUCAAUUAUAAUAAAUGAGUUACCUGAUUUAUUUCUAUUAUUUGUGGUUGUUAUUAAUAUUGCGUACAGGUAAUGUAAGUGACCCGCAUUAGCCUCGUCACUACUUCGUUGAGGUUAGGCUCAGCACUUACCAGUACAUGGGGUCGGUUGUACUGAUACUACACUCUGCACUUCUUGUACAGAUUUUGGAGUUGGUCCCAACGGCAUACCGUAGACUUGCUCGGAUAUCAGCUAUUCAGAGGAGACUUGAGGUGUAACUGCACGGCGUUCGCAGUUCUGAAGUCCCCGUCUACUUUACUUUAGCUAUGUGUUUGUUUCCAGACAACUUUAUUUUAUUCAGACCUUUAUUUGUAUUUAUUCUAGAAGCUCGUGUACUUGUGACACCAAUUCUGGGAUGGUAUUUAGACACCGUUAUUUUUAUGGAUUAUUCACUAUAUUUUAAACUUGCUUCCGUAUUUGUUCUUGGAUUAUUAAUAAUUUAAAAAUUAUUUAAAAUUAGUUAAUAAUAUUCUAUCAUUGGCUUGCCUAGCNNNNNNNNNNNNNNNNNNNNNNNNNNNNNNNNNNNNNNNNNNNNNNNNNNNNNNNNNNNNNNNNNNNNNNNNNNNNNNNNNNNNNNNNNNNNNNNNNNNNNNNNNNNNNNNNNNNNNNNNNNNNNNNNNNNNNNNNNNNNNNNNNNNNNNNNNNNNNNNNNNNNNNNNNNNNNNNNNNNNNNNNNNNNNNNNNNNNNNNNNNNNNNNNNNNNNNNNNNNNNNNNNNNNNNNNNNNNNNNNNNNNNNNNNNNNNNNNNNNNNNNNNNNNNNNNNNNNNNNNNNNNNNNNNNNNNNNNNNNNNNNNNNNNNNNNNNNNNNNNNNNNACUCCCCCAAUUCCGUGACGGAAGUGCGCAGCCAUGCCAUAUCCUUAUCUAAGGUUGUCAUACGUGUACUCCGUCUGACCUGGGAUGGUCCUGCAGCCGCUGCAGCUUGUUCCUGUGGGGGUGAGGCAGGUUCAACCUCCUCCUGCCCUUCAUCGCCCUCCUCCGGUGCAUCAAAAUCGUCACUAUAAGUUGCCCUAGGUGUCACCGGGUCUUUCCCGAUGGUCACUUUGUCUGCCUGGAACUUUGCUUCUUUCUUCACCAUGCCAUCCGCAUUUGGGUUUUCAGGCACCCUUGUUGCCCGGCACAAUCUAGUGACCAGAGAGGGGAAAAAGUACCCAUACCCCUUCUGUGGUGAAUGGACGAACAUCUCAGACUGAAUAACCUUGGCUAUAUCAAAAUCGUUGCUAUUGAUGAAGCACUAGAUCAAGGUAGCUCUCGGACCAUUUACCUCCGUGGUGUUGUGGGACGACAGCAAGCGACUGUUGAUGAUGUACAACCAGCACUUUCCUUCAAAAGUGAGCGAGGCAGAGUGUAGCUUUGAUCCCGGCACAACCCACACUACCUCUUUGUCUGGUGCACAGAUAGUUCUGAAAAACAUGUUCCAUGUGAUAGGUUCUCUCUUGUAAGUAUCAUAGAAAUCCUCCUCCCCAUUGAAUACAGGCAAUCGAUACACUCUCCUUAUGGCUUCUAUCGAGGCAUCCACCCUCGUGUGCCGUACAGUGCAUAUUCUAUCCUCAUAUUCGGGGUAGUUGGCAUAGAACUCCCGGACAAACAUCAAGUUACCCUCCUUAGGCUCCUCGAAAAAGCUGUCCAACCUGUGCCUGAUCAACUCCCGAUACAUAUUAGGGCACUCAUCCUGGAGGGACGCCCUGCCAAUACCCCUUUUCGGUACAGGUUUUUUAGUGGCCUUCAAACUGAAACGGUCUUGGGCAGCUCUGGAGACAAACCUGGUAUGGUCAAAUUGAGAUGCACUGGCCGGUGCCCGUGCCCGGGAUGAACCUCCAUGACCACUUGACGAGGCUCCAGUGGUGCGUCUCUUCUUUGAAGGUGUCAUGGUACCUACACAACAAACACUACUAUCAAUAAUCGGCAAAAUAUGGGAACCAAUAGCGGUUACUUAGACUUCACUCGCACAAUUGGUCACAAUUUACAUUCAAACUCAUUAUGGCAAUUCAACAAAUACAUAAGGUGCAUAUACACCCCAAGUUACCCAAAGCCCCAAUUAAACUUCCAUUCCUCACAAACUCAACAAUGUCCCAAACUGAUGGGCCGUGACCGGCACCCGGUAUCUUACUCAACCGAGUACCAACGUAAUGCAUCUUUCUUAUUACAUCAUCAUAUACACAUGACAUACGGGCCUAAUAGGCCAACAUGAUCAUUUAUAAACUCAAAACAUAGGCCGGCAAGGCCAUACAAGCAUCCGUAUACAUGACAUCUGUCUACAAGCCUCUAAGAGUACAUACUUAUCACAAAGGUCGGGUCAGGGCCCCGCCAUACCAAACAAUAUACGUCUAAAUCAUACUGACCAAAUAAGUAACUCCGGAGCAAAUGGAGUGCACCAACAUCUUCCGUUGAUCUGAUAGCCUACUUGGAGGGCUCUCGACCUGUCUAUCGGAACCUGCGGGCAUGAAACAUAGCGUNNNNNNNNNNNNNNNNNNNNNNNNNNNNNNNNNNNNNNNNNNNNNNNNNNNNNNNNNNNNNNNNNNNNNNNNNNNNNNNNNNNNNNNNNNNNNNNNNNNNNNNNNNNNNNNNNNNNNNNNNNNNNNNNNNNNNNNNNNNNNNNNNNNNNNNNNNNNNNNNNNNNNNNNNNNNNNNNNNNNNNNNNNNNNNNNNNNNNNNNNNNNNNNNNNNNNNNNNNNNNNNNNNNNNNNNNNNNNNNNNNNNNNNNNNNNNNNNNNNNNNNNNNNNNNNNNNNNNNNNNNNNNNNNNNNNNNNNNNNNNNNNNNNNNNNNNNNNNNNNNNNNNNNNNNNNNNNNNNNNNNNNNNNNNNNNNNNNNNNNNNNNNNNNNNNNNNNNNNNNNNNNNNNNNNNNNNNNNNNNNNNNNNNNNNNNNNNNNNNNNNNNNNNNNNNNNNNNNNNNNNNNNNNNNNNNNNNNNNNNNNNNNNNNNNNNNNNNNNNNNNNNNNNNNNNNNNNNNNNNNNNNNNNNNNNNNNNNNNNNNNNNNNNNNNNNNNNNNNNNNNNNNNNNNNNNNNNNNNNNNNNNNNNNNNNNNNNNNNNNNNNNNNNNNNNNNNNNNNNNNNNNNNNNNNNNNNNNNNNNNNNNNNNNNNNNNNNNNNNNNNNNNNNNNNNNNNNNNNNNNNNNNNNNNNNNNNNNNNNNNNNNNNNNNNNNNNNNNNNNNNNNNNNNNNNNNNNNNNNNNNNNNNNNNNNNNNNNNNNNNNNNNNNNNNNNNNNNNNNNNNAAUUAUAGUGUCAUGCAUAUGCAUAUGAAUGCCAUGUCUUACAUAGGUACAUGUUUCAUAACAUCAUCAGGCCUCUGAGGGCAUCCCAUCAUAUCAUCUCGGCCACUGUGGGAAAAAUCAUCAACGUAUACCAGAUGAUCAGGUGGUGGUGCGUAUAUAACGCCGUAACCUUUUUCCCAUAUAUAUAUAUAUAUAUAACACCAUCUGAUCAUGGGUCAAUGUAAAUGAAUGCAAUGCAUGAGAAGUACAUCAAUAAAAUCUUCUGGAGCGUCAUAAGACCAUUAUGCCUUUGAUUAAUAUCAUGAAAUAAACUUUACCAACUUACGUAUUUUUUUGAUACCCAUGAACAUAUGAUAAAAUAAUAUAACACGUGGGGAAUCAAGAACAUAAGCAUCUCUAAUAUUUCUAUGAAUAGAGUCAUGUAUGGAAAUUGUGCAUUUUCUCGUUUCGUUUGUGUCGUAUGGAUCAUGCCAAAAGAAAUAAGGGAUAGUCUUAACAUACCUGGAGUAGGAAAAAAUCCGUAUGAUAUUCUUGAAAAAGGUUGCACCGUACUCCUUUAGAACCGCAAAAUUUUACGUUUCUACCGUUCUAACAAUUCUCGUUGGAAUUGUUUGGUUGAAAUCUUGUAAGAAUUGCUUGAAGAUGCUAUGAAAUCUCCCGUUUUGAAUGGAAUAUUGAAGCAUUUACGUUGCUAAGAUGAUAAGCAACUUUGGUUGAAUUCUUAUUAAAGAUUCGCUGCCUACCAAACAUAUGCACUUCCCGUUUCCAUUUAAUGAUUGAAUGGAGGUUAUUUCUUUGUCAAAUUGAGUGGGCCCCACUUUUAGGUAUGACUUAGCCUAACUUAGUCUUCUAAAUUCCACCUUAUCAACUAUAUUAAGAGUCAUCAAUUGAAGAAAGGGUGGCUGCCACAUUAAUCAUCCUUAUACUUAUCCAAAUUAUGCAUAAUUAGUUAGUUAAUCUUUCACUAAAAAUUAAUAAUUACCCAAUUACCCACAUAAUUAAGAAUCAUCUCAAAUUACUUUAAAAUACUGCUCACUUUUUAACAUACUUUAUACACCUUACUAUCGUGUCCAUAUGGUACCUUGUAUGGUACUAGUCCAUAAAUACUGGGUAUUAUACCUCAGGCCGUAUUUUAUUCCAAAAUGUCAAACUUUGACGAAAUUCUUUUUCUUAUUUUUGCUUACCCUUUCUCCUUCACGAAUUUACUCAUCACGUGUUUGAAAGAGCAUAAUGCUUAUAAUUUCAAAAUAACCUCAUUCCCGAGUUCACGUCGAUUAACUUACGACGAAAUUUUUAACGUACAAAAAUGUGGGAUGUAACAUCUCAUUUCUGAGCUUUCAUCAAUUUAUUUAUGGCGUACUUUCACGUACGAAAAUAUAGGGUGUAACAUUCGCGUCCCAAUCCGCGGUCAAGCCCGUGACUGCUGACGGGGGGUAGUGGUUUGUGCAAAAUCUGUGGCCUACUCCGCGGUCCAAUCCACGGCCGCGGAUAUCGAUCUCUAGCAAAAUUUUAUCUUUUUCGCACUUUUACCUAUCUCCGAGUUAAUUUCGUCCCCUGAAUCCUUCCGAUGCGCAUAAUUUUAUCCCUGCACAUUAGUAGAUCGGUCAAUGCCGUUCAAAAUCAAUUACAAAACAAGAGUAAAGAAAAAUAAUGGGUUGCCUCCCAAAAAGCGCCUGAGUUAACGUCGCAACACGAUAAUUUACAACAAACCAUGGGUUGCCUCCCAGGAAGCGCCUGAUUUAACGUCGCGGGAUGACGCAAGCUUUCAUUAUUACUCUUCGCUCACGUAUUAGGGCUCUUCCAAAGAUAUCACCACUCUAUCCCCCUUUUCUUUGACCAUUGCAAGGUAAUCUUUCAACCUUUGCCCAUUUACCGUGAACUUAUUUGUCCCAUCUUCAGGUUUAAUUUCUACAGCUCCACUUGAGAAUACUUGCACCACUCUGAAGGGUCCUGACCAUCGGGACUUCAACUUACCCGGAAACAAUCUCAAUCUCGAGUUGUAUAACAAUACUAGAUCUCUGGGUUUUAAGUUCCGAUCUAGAAUGUGCUUAUCAUGCAUCGUUUUUAUCCUUUCUUUGUACAAUCUUGCAUUCUCAAAUGCAUGGAACUUGAAUUCCUCGAGUUCAUGUAACUCAGUGACUCUAUUGGUGCAUGCGGUCUCCAUAUCCAAAUUCAACUGCCGCAGUGCCCAAAGGGCUUUAUGUCUGAGCUCUACCGGAAGAUAGCAUGCUUUUCCAAACACCAACUUGUAUGGUGACAUACCAAUUGGAGUUUUAAAUGAUGUGCGGUACACCCAUAAUGCAUCAUCUAGCUUCUUUGCCCAAUCAGUCCUUGUCGCAUUCACUGUCUUGGUCAGGACACUUUUUAUUUCCCUGUUGGACACUUCAACUUGCCCGCUCAUCUGUGAGUGGUAUGGUGUGGCUACCUUAUGGCGAACUCCAUACUUUUCCAACAGUCGUGCGAACCCUCUAUUGCAAAAAUGGAUUCCACCAUCAGUGAUUAUAGCUCUCGGGGUGCCAAGACGUGUGAAGAUGUUUUUCUUUAGGAAACCUGUCACCACUUUUGCAUCAUUGGUUGGGAGAGCUACCGCUUCGACCCAUUUGGAGACAUAGUCAACUGCUACCAAUAUGUAUUUGUUACCAUACGAGCUGACGAAAGGCCCCAUAAAUUCAAUCCCCCAUAUGUCUAAAACCUCUACCUCUUGAAUUGUGGUCAUCAGCAACUUGUGAUGUCGAGAUAUGUUGCAUGUCCUUUGGCACUCAUCACAUUUUUUUACCCAAGCAUGGGCAUCCUUGAACAGAGUUGGACAAUACAACCCCUAUUCCAACACUUUUGCUACUGUCCGGAUUCCUCCAAAGUGUCCACCAUAUGGUGAAGCAUGUCAAGCCUACAAAAUAGAAGGUUGAUCUUUCUCGGGAAUAGCCUCCGGAUCAUGUUAUCUACACAUAUUAUAAAAAGUAGAGGUCCAUCCCAAUAAUAAGAUCGACAAUCGUGAAAGAACUUUUUCUUUUGAAUCGAAGAGAGUUCAUAAGGUACAAUACCACUUGCUAAAUAGUUAGCAAUAUCAGCAUACCAUGGCGACUCCUCCAUUGUCACAACGAGUAACUGUUCAUCCGGGAAUGUCUCUGUUAUAUCUUCAACCUCCAUCUUCUUUUCAGCUCCUUCCAACCUUGAGAGAUGGUCUGUCACUUGAUUGUCCGUCCCUUUUCUGUCACGGAUUUCCAGAUCGAAUUCUUGUAGCAAAAGAACCCAGCGGAUUAAGCGUGGCGUUGACUCCUUCUUUGCUAUCAAGUACCUAAUUGCUGCAUGGUCAGUAUAAACAAUAACUUUUAAACCAAUUAAGUAUGACCUGAAUCUGUCGAAGGCAAACACUAUAGCCAAUAUUUCCUUUUCUGUUACGGUGUAAUUGAGUUGUGCACCACUCAGCGUCCUACUUGCAUAGUAAAUUGGGUGCAUCAUCUUGUCUUUUGACUGCCCAAGACUGCUCAUAUAGUAUAAUCACGGGUGUCACACAUGAGCUCGAACGAUUGCUCCUAGUUGGGUGCAACAAUGAUGGGUGCAAUUACUAGUCUCUUCUUCAGCUCCCCAAAUGCCAACCUGCAAUCUUUAGAAAACACAAAGGGAUGACCCUUUUCAAAAAGUUUACAUAAAGGGUUAGCAAUAUUGGAAAAAUCUUUUAUGAAUUGCCUGUAGAACCCGAUGUGCCCAAGGAAACUUCUCACCGCCUUGACCGAAGUGGGCGGUGGAAAUUUCUCAAUCACAUCAACCUUAGCAUGGUUGACCUCAAUUCCCUUACUGGACACUUGAUGCCCUAAAACUAUUCCUUCUUGUACCAUAACAUAGCACUUUUCCCAAUUCAACACCAAAUUUAUCUCCACACAUCUUUUGAGCACUCUUCUUAAAUUGUGAAGACAACCUUCGAAUGAAUCCCCCACCACGGAGAAAUCAUCCAUAAACACCUCCAUAAUAUCUUCAACCAUAUCAGUGAAAAUGACUAACAUGUACCGCUGGAAUGUAGCCGGCGCAUUGCAAAGUUCAAAAGGCAAUCUCCGAAAGGCAAAGAUGCCAUACGGACAAGUGAACGAUGUUUUCUCUCUGCCUUCAGGGGCUAUUGAGAUCUAGUUGUACCCCCAAUAUCCAUCCAAGAAACAGAAGUGAGACCGCCCAGCUAACCUGUCCAAUAUUUGGUCAAUUAAAGGCAAGGGGAAAUGGUCCUUCCGGGUGGCUGAGUUCAAUUUUCGAUAGUUCAUGCAAAUCCACCACCCCGUGACUGUACGAGUCGAGAUCAACUCGUUAUUCUCAUUUUGUACGACCGUCAUUCCUCCUUUUUUCGGCACACACUGAACAGGGCUGACCCAGUUGCUGUCAGAGAUGAGGAAGAUGAUACCCGCAUUCAGCCACUUGAUCAUUUCCUUAUUCACCACCUCUUUCAUAUUCGGGUUCAACCAUCAUUGAUGCUCUCUGGAAGGUUUGUGCCCCUCUUCCAAGAGAAUCUUGUGCAUACAAAAGGCUGGGCUGAUACCCUUUAUGUCUGCCAUGGUCCAACCAAUGGCAGUCUUACAAUCUUGUAACACCUGUAAGAGUUGCUCUACCUAUACAACUAGCAAACCAGAUGAUAUAAUAAUAGGAAAAGUAGAAUUAGGCCCUAAGAAAGCGUACCUGAGGUGAGCUAGAAGCGAUUUCAGGUACAACUAUGGUGGCUUCUCUAUUGAUGGUUUUGCAGGUGGUGUUGCUCUUUCUUCUAAGCGUAGGGGCUCGAACUGAGGUUCCCUUUUCCAGAACCCUUGACCCUCGAGAGCCAUGACCCACUCUGCCAGCCCUUCACCAUCCAUCUCUUCCAAAUUCAUCAAACAGGCUUCUAGCGGAUCCCUGACAUUAAAUGUCUCAUCCUCCUCUUGCAAUAUCACAUCCACGGCCUCCACUAGCGAGAAAUUUGCAAAUUCGCCGGGUCUCCUCAUGGAUUGUUGAAUGUUGAAUAUUAUUUCUUCAUUGUUCAACCUCAUUUUCAACUCUCUAGUCUCGCAAUCAAUCAAUCCUCUCCCCGAAAAUGAUGCCAAAAUUUUAUCACGCCCAACUAUGCCUUGUAAAAAGGACCAAGCGGUCGCUGCAAAUAUAAUCCGGGUCAAGUCCGGAGUCGAAUCCCACAUGGAACUAACCUAUUUACUAUAACUUUUAACAAUGCUAAUGAUAAGCUCAGACAAUUUCCGGAUGCAAGAUUUUUAAUAGAGCAUAAGUGGAAUUUAUUUAUCAAAUGAAAAAUGACAACAAAAUUAGCAAUCAAGAAUAAGGUUGAAUGCAAAGGUUAAAAGGAUCUAGGGCUAUUGAUUUCCCCAAUUGUCGGACUAAUUUCUGACACGUUAGCUAUAAUCUCGCCGUAAUACUCUAUGAGGAUUAUGAGUUCCGCGCUACCGUAAUUAUCUCUCGAUCAAUUACGAUAAUUUACUAGAAGCAUUCUCUUGAACUACUCCAGUUAACAAUUUAUGCAACUCAGAAUUAUCCUACCAAAGCUUCGUUAUCUCUAACCAUACUUUUAAAUUCAAGUAAUUAAUCUCUUAACUUACCCGAAAGUGGUGUUAUUCAACAACAAUCUAACCAAGUGUUCUUUCUCAAGCAACACACGGUAACCAGACACGAUUAAUCAAGGGCCCUUUCAAUUAAUCACAACAGAAUACAUAGUUGAACAAUCAUAGAAUAAGAACGACUCAAUUAUAUCUAAACAUAGUCAAAACUUCAUCUAACAAUUGGUUCCAUCAACCCUAGAUGACGGGUUUAGCUACUCAUACUAAUGGAUAAAAUUCACUAUAACAAUUCAUAAUCAACAAUGGAAGUAAGAAGAAGAAGAUGAAAACUCUUAUGAACUUCUCUGUCUUCUCUCUCUUGUUCUUGCCUCCAAAAUCUUCUAAAAACAGCUCUGCCUCUCUUCUGAGAACGACCUUCCCAGAAUGAUGGGUAUCUCUUCAUCCAUUUGACAGUCAAGAAUAACGAAGUCUGCAGGAAAUACAAACUUCCUCACUUGAACAAGCAUAUCAUCAAGAAUUCUUGUCGGUUUUUUGACUAUGCGAUCAUCCAGUUGCAACAACAUUGAGGUUGGUCUAGCUCUGCCAAUGCCCAAUUUUGUAUAGAUUGCCAAGGGCAUCAAGUUUAUACAGGCCCCUAAGUCACACAAUGCUUUAGCAAAAGCAUAACUCCCAAUGAUGCAUGAGAUAGGGAAACUAUUUGGAUCAUACACAACUUUUGAGCCAUAGGUCUUGUCACUACCGUGCUGUAGGUCUGCGUCAGAGUUAUAGUGGACAGGUCGUGGAAAUCAAAUUUUCGCGACAUUAGGUCCUUCAUCAUUUUUUCAUACCUUGGCAUUUCCCUCAAAGCAUCCAUCAAUGGAAUAUUCAAUUGAAUUUUUUUGAAGCAUUUCCAUAAUUUUCCUAUAUUGAUCAUCUUUAUUUUGCUUUGCCAAUAUCUGAGGGAAUGGUGCAGGAGUCAACCUCUGCCCACUGCUUGGUGUAUUUUCUUUGUUGAAAGAUUUUUCUACCACCUGUUCUGAGAGUUGUUCACCUUCCCUCUCAUUACCCUUGUCAACCUGUCCUUGUUCAAUUACAACCUCGGUAAGCUCUGCUAACUCAUCUGCCUCUAAUGUAAUUGGAGUAGUUGGCGUAGUCUCUCUCCUAGAUUUAGCAACUUCUUGUUCUCUGUCUAAGUCUCUUUCAUUCCUGAGACUCACUGCCAUUAGCUGAUUUGGGUUAUGUUCCUUUAGGUUAAUAUUUGUAUCUGCAGGCAAUGUUCCUUAUGGGUGAUUGUUCAAGGCCAUAGAUAGUUGUCCCAAUUGAGUUUCAAUGCCUUUUAUUGUCAAAUCAUGUGCUGCUAAUUUUUCUUGCAUCUUACCAUUUGUCCCAAUGAGUUGUUGCAGCUUGCCCCUGAUUUCUGUCAUGUUGUUGUCCUGCUGUUGAUGAGGUGCUUGGUAGGCCAACUGUUGCUGGUGCUGCUGAUUAUAGCUAUGUUGCCUUUGAUAAGGAGCGACAUGGCCUUGUGGUCUUGCGCUUCCUGGAUUGGGGUUGUGUUAUGGCUGGUUUGGUUUGUACUGCUAGUUUGGUACUGGUCCCCAUUGCUGCCCACCUUGCCUCUGACCUCCGAAAUUGUUGACAUAAUUCAUGUCCUCUCUAAAGCACUUGUUGUCAUUAUCUCCACUCCACGAGCACACAUAUGACUGGUUUAUGCAAGGAGUGCACAAGCCUCCAUUUGUUGUAUCAAUAAUGUGCACUUGAUUUGUACCCAUAUCAUCAAUUUUCUUUGUCAGUAAGCUCAUUUGGGUCAUGAGAGUGGCUAUGUUCUCUACAGUGGAAUUAUUUGGGUCAAGAGCAACAUAAUGCACUACUGGUGUAGGUGUCGUACCUCUAGUCAUCCAGCCUGAAUUUUGAGCCAUCUUGUCGAGAUGAAUCUUGCACUCUGUGAACGUUUUGCACAAACAUGCACCCCCAGCUGAAGCAUCUACAUUGGCCUUCAAACUGUUUGCCAAACCCAUGUAGAAUCUUUGUCCCAGCAUCUGAUCUGGAAUGUCAUGGUGUAGACACUUCACUAGUAUACCCUUAAACCUCUCCCAGGUUUCUUGCAAGGUCUCAGUCGGUUUCUGCUUGAACUGCAAUGUCUCAUCAAUUUGCCUUGCAGUCUUGUUGGUAGGAUAAAACUUGUUUAAGAACUACUUGACUAAUUCUUCCCAAGUAGCAAUGGAGUUUAUUGGGAGCGAAUUCAGCCAAGUUUGAGCCUCUCCAGUCACCGAGAAUGGGAACAGUAAUAGCUUAAUUGCAUCAGGAGUCACAUUCGGCUGUCUUUGAGUCACACAAAUUGAUAGAAAGAUCUUCAGAUGUUGUUAUGGGUCUUCGAUGUAUGACCCGGAGAACAGUGCCUUAUUUUGCAAUAGGUGCAGCAUGUUGUUGGUAAUCUAGAAUGUUUCCGCUUGUAUCUGAGGAACAGCAAUGGCGGUGGCCAAGUUAUCAGCAGUUGGUUGUGCCCAAUCAUAAAGAGCAGCUUCCGGCACACGUGGUGCCACCACUCCAUUGUUCGGGUCAACACGAUCAUUCCGAUUGCUUACAUUGACGUCGUUCACGUUGUCCAUUUCACUUUCGAGUUGGUCUUUUUGGUUUAACUAUUUGUUCUUCUUGUUUUCCCGAUUCAAUGCCUUGAAUGCUUUCUUGAGGUCUGAGAGUCCUUCAAAAAGUUCACCAAUCCUCAAAGAGCUUGUAGGCAUACACUUGAGUCAUAGAAGAGUUCAAACGUUAGAAUUUCAAUGGAGAAAUUUUAACACCGUAGGAUAUUGAUCUAAACUAAGAAUCCUAGCAAUUCUUCUAAGUUGUAAUAAAUAACACCGUUAGAUUCCCCGGCAACGAUUCUAAAAUUUUAUCACGCCCAACUAUGCCUUGUAAAAAGGACCAAACGGUCGCUGCAAAUAUAAUCUAGUUCAAGUCCGGAGUCGAAUCCCACAUGGAACUAACCUAUUUACUAUAAUUUUUAACAAUGCUAAUGAUAAGCUCAGACAAUUUCCGGAUGCAAGAUUUUUAAUAGAGCAUAAGUGAAAUUUAUUUAUCUAAUGAAAAAUGACAACAAAAUUAACAAUCACGAAUAAGGUUGAAUUCAAAGGUUAAAAGGAUCUAGGGCUAUUGAUUUCCCCAAUUGUCUAACUAAUUCCUGACACGUUAGCUAUAAUCUCACCGUAAUACUCUAUGAGGAUUAUGAGUUCCGCGCUACCGUAAUUAUCUCUCGAUCAAUUACGAUAAUUUACUAGAAGCAUUCUCUCGAACUACUCUAGUUAACAAUUUAUGCAACUCAGAAUUAUCCCACCAAAGCUUCGUUAUCUCUAACCAUACUUUUAAAUUCAAGUAAUUAAUCUUUAACUUACCCUAAAGUGGUGUUGUUCAAUAAUAAUCUAACCAAGUGUUCUUUCUCAAGCAACAUACGGUAACUAGACACGAUUAAUCAAGGGCCCUUUCAAUUAAUCACAACACAAUACAUAUUUGAACAAUCAUAGAAUAAGAACAACUCAAUUAUAUCUAAACAUAGUCAAAACUUCAUCCAAUAAUUGGUUCCAUAAACCCUAGAUGAUGGGUUUAUCUACUCAUACAAAUGGAUAAAAAUUCACUAUAACAAUUCAUAAUCAACAAUGAAAGUAAGAAGAAGAAGAUGCAAACUCUUAGGAACUUUUCCGUCUUCUCUCUCUUGUUCUUUCCUCCAAAAUCUCCUAAAAAUAGCUUUCCCUCUCUUCUGGACGAAUUAGGCUUUAUAUAGGCUUAGGUUCGUCUCCUUAGAAAUUACAUAAUUGCCCCUCAGCUGUUGGCUUCCGUCCGCCUAUCCGCGGCCGCGAAUUUUAGCCAGUGUUCUGCCUCCAAUUCGCGGUCAACUCCGCUGUCGCGCACCUAGAGGGGACCUCCUCGCUUGUUCUUCUCGCUCCUUUUCGACCGGGCUAACCUUCGAUUGGCCUUCCACACGCCAUAUUGACUCCAAAACACUCUUUAGAUUCCUCUUAGUUCGGAGUGGCUCCUGCAAAGCAUAAAAUUCUUAAUUAGAGCAUUUUGUUAUCUUUUAGCAUUCAAAUAUCAAUUAAGUACGGCUAAACUAGAGUAUAAAUAUUGUCUAAAUUAUAUAAAUAUAGCCUACUAUCAUACCGCCAAUUAAUUUCAGUGAUCAGAUCCAAUUUCUUGUAUUACAUUGCCUUGAUAGCACGGGGACAUGGGAUGCCAGUUAACUGGCAAGUUUUACAUGUGCAUUUCUUCAUUACCAGGUUCACUGAAUGUUUAUCAUCACCCUCGGAAACUCCAUACCCAAUGUCACCAUUGAAAUUCACAGUGCAUGAAUUAUUAGCUAUGUUUAGAUAAGUGGUAAACAACUUCAUGCAAUAAGGACUAAACUCAAUAGUCCAUGUUCUAACCUCUCCUUUCUCUCUCAACAUGUUCAUGAUCUUGAUUCUAAUAUUCUCAAGCAUCUUCAAGAUAGGCUUGCCUCUUGCUUCUAAGAUCCAAGAUUUGAAGGAUUCGGUAAAAUUAUUGUCCACCAUCUUAUUUUUGCAUACUGUAUCAAAAUAUGCUCUACACUAGUUUUGUGGUGGAUACCUAAGCAAAUCCUUAGCAGCAUCAGCACACAAAGAGCCAAGUUGUUUUAACUAGUCCUUAAACUCUUCCUCAUAACUGCACUAUCUUACUCAUGUUGGAUUCAAUAUGCCUAACAAAAAAUCUGUAAAAGAUUGAAGGGUUAGUUACUAGUCAAAUAAAAGUCCCCGAAUAUAUAAAUAAAAUAACACAUGUGGUUUGUUAAAUGGAGGACAUUUCUCAGAGCAUUUAAAAGUCCCUGCAUAUGUACAUUUAGUAAGGAUCAACUAUAUAAUAAUUAUAAAUUUAACUAUAAAGAUUCAAACAAACACUAAGAUAACUUUUACCUUUUGCAUGUCAGACAUAAAAGUAAUACUUUCACCAUUCUUCAGAUUCAAUAGAUGUUGCAGCAGCUCCAGAAACCAUGUCCAUGUCCUACUAGUUUCCCUAUCAACUAUAGCCCAAGCCAAUGGAUAAAAAUGAUUCAUACAAUCUUGUGCCAUAGCCACCAAUAGUUGUCCUUUGCAUUGACCCUUCAAGAAAGUCUCAUUCAGUCCAAUGAAGGGUCUCAACCCUCCUUUACACCUCAACUUUAAUACAUUAAAAUAAAUAUACAUUCUCAGAAACCUUCUUUUACCUUCGGUCAUCCCAUCAUUUGAUAAAUUGAUAACUGCAUCACUACCAGGAUUGCUCUCCCUGAUCUCAUUUGCAUAUGCUUAUAGUCUAUUAUAGUCAUCUAAAAAGCUACCUUGCAUUGUUUGAAGGGCCAUCCUCUUGGCCCUUUUUAGCUUUGACAUAUUAGCAUUCAACAAAAAUUGAUCUUUUAAAUCUUGUCUCAUAUCCUUUAUCUUGUACUUGGGGUUAUUCUGCACCUUACUCUUGAAAUAAUGAGUUAGAGUUUUUGUGGUAGCUCUAGGGUUAUCAAAUGUUUCACCACAUGUAUGCUUUAACUUUAAUGUUUUUAUCUUAAAUCCUGGACCUCCCCUAUCUUCUGAUAUGAGACACACAAAUGGACAGCCUAAUAUACAUCUAUAAAUAAAUCUUGUUUUAUUACUUUUUUCACCUUCAGAGAUUUUUGAUUGGCAAUAGCAUACAAGUUUAUGACUUUCUUAGCUUCUUCCAAGUUCUUAAAUGUCAUAGAGUUAUCAAGCUCCUUGUAGUGAGUAAGCUUAUCAUUGACUUCUUUUUUCUUUUGUAUCCUAAUUAACUCUAAUUCCUCAAAGUCAUAUUCACUAGAAUCUGAUUGAUAACCUGAACUUUCAUUACUUUCUGAUUCACAAUCAGUACCUACUUCAACAACCAAAUCGUUCAUAUUGAAUCUCUGGAAAAAAAUAGAAAUAGACAAAGAGGGUUCAUAUCAAUAAAUUAUCUAUAGUUGAAACUUAAAUAUUCAGGAGAUCUACUCUAAAGGCAAAUAAAAAGAUAAAAGGACCACACAAUAAAUUACUGCAUAAACUAUAGAAGAAAGAGACACAUGUAGUCUUGAAAAUAAGAAAUUGUUGUCACUUUCAACGACUAAAGUUGUUGUCACUUAAGAAAUUUCACAAAAUCAUAACUUAUCACUAUGCUCGAAAAUGACACCUUAAACAAAAAACAGUAGUGUUUUUAUCCAAAUAACAGUACAUCAAAUAAAAAUUUGAGAUUACCCCAAAAUCGUAAAUCUUAGUCACAAAUAAUCCAUGACCUAAACCAACUAAUAAUCAUUGAAAAGCUUAACUAAGAUGAAUCCUUACCUAAAUAGCUUCAGAUAAUGGUAAAUAAUCUUCAAUUUAUCUUGUUAUUCCUCUGAAACCCUCAUUUGAAAUCGCCUCUCUAAGAUACCUUUAGAAGGGUAAGUGAGAAAUGAGGCGUAAAAUCGUUUUGCCCCUUUAAUUAGACAAUCGGGUCGCGGGUUACCAUCUAGGUUAAUGGGUAAAUUAUAUGUUAGUGAGUUGUCACGUAUUUUAUUACACGUAGGAUAUACAUGUGGCCAUCUGUUAGUUGUGAGGCAUUUAUGGUCCCAAAGAGUGAGGGGGAGUAUAGGUUUGGUACCAAAAGCAAACAAAGGGUAUAAUUGAGCUAUUUUCGAUAGUUCGAGGGCAUUUUUGGACAUUUCCAUUUUCUAAAUCAUUUUUUUUGCUAAGCAAUUUUCUAAAGCAUUUUUUUUUUGUAAAAACUGAAAAAACAAAUUCAACAAAAUAUUUUUUAGUUUUUACAAAAAAAAUAUUUUUCUGUCUUUUUUAAAAGCAAUAUUUUUGUAAUAACUAGAAAAAAAAUAUUUUUGUUUUUUUCAGUUUUUAGUAAAAAUAAUUUCAGUUUUUUCUAAUUUUUACAAAAAUAUUAUUUUAGAAAAUUAUUUUUCAGGUAUGGGUAACUGAUAUGGUUAUGGGUAUGAGUCUUUUUAAUUAAUUAGGAGAUAUUUAGAAUUGGCCAAUAGGACGAUGCCAUGUAUCACUCCGUUUAAAUGAGGGGUAUAUUUGAACCCAAAGUAUAACGACAUGAGUAUAUUUGUCUCACAGUAUAAUAAAUGGUAUAUUUAAAUAAUUUUUGAAAGUAUAGGGUAGGGGCGGAUUUAGGGGGGCGAAAGGGUGUUCAUCCGAACACUCUUCGUCGAAAAAUUACACUAUUCAUAUAGGGGUAAUUUUGUGUUUUACGUAUAGAUAUAAUAUGUUGAACCCCUUAACACAAGCCAAAAGAUUGGCUUAGUGGUGAAGGGUAUUCAGAUUUUGUAGAAGGUCGCAGGUUCAAUUCAUGUAAGUUGAAAUCUAAUUCUUUUUACCUGAGACGUUUGUUUUUAAAUUUUAAAUGAAACGAAACGACGUCGUUUCGUUUCGUCUCUUUUAAUAUGUUCUCCUCCCCCCUCCCCCCCCCCUCCCAAAAAAAAAAAAACGUGUCUGACUUUGGGUUAAAAUUCCUAAAUCUCUCUCUCUCUUCGUUGCCUCACUGGCUCACUCCACUCCCUCUCUCUCUCUCUCUCUAGUCUCUCUACCAUGCUGUUGCUACUUGCUAUUCUUUUGUCAUGGCAUUCCCAUUCCAGGUAAAUUCCUUGUUCUUUCUAACCUUUUUCGGAAUUUUAUUAGUAUUUUAUUGAUUAUUUUUAAUUUAGGUUAAUAACUCUUAUUUGUUGUUUUUUGAUUCUUGAAUCUGUAGACUUUAAUAAUAUAAAUGAUUAAGUUUUCUACUGCAUUUGCUUUGAUAAACUUAUGAAAAAUAAUUCCUGAUUUUUUUUAGAAUUGAGAUACUUUUGACUUCAUCUUUGGUGAUAAUUGCUGAUAUUUUAUUCCCUUCUGUUGCAUAUGUUACAAUGAUUAAUAUUGUAUUGGAAGAAAAAAAUCCCAAUCUCUUACUAUCCAACUAAAAUAAAAUAAAAUAUAAAUCAUUAGUACGUGUGUGUUUUCAACAUAUCGUUAGCAUGAGUUACGAUGAUAGUUUAGUUCCUAUUUAGAUUUAAUUUUUUUAAUGCACCCAUUUGAUAUUACAUUUGGGUUAAACAAAUUUCGAUGAACCCCUUUGAUGAAAUUUUUACUGUUCACUUUUUUAUAAUAUUGAACACCCUUGUUUGGAAUUCUGGAUCCGCCACUAGUAUAGGGUAUAGAGGAGGAGGAAGCAUGGCUUUGUCGUCUUAUCAACUCCUAGUUAGAUCAAUUUGAUAAAAAUGAUGAAUUACUUAUUGGUCCCUUAAGGUUUAGGUUUGUAGAAAUUUUACCCCUCAAUCUUUUAGAGUAUGUAUUAUUCACCUAAGGUUAGAGCGAAUGAGCUCAAACAAGUAUUAUAGUUAGAAUUUAAAUUUAGUGAUAUUCAAAUUGUCACUUCCAAAUGUUUUAAGUUUAAUAAAAUGUCAUUUUCAUGCUUCAAGGAAGACUUGCACUAAUUCUAGAACAAGUGGGCUUAAUUAGUUACAAUACCCUCUCCGUUUCAAUUCAGAUGAUAUAGUUUGAUUUGAAACAAAAUUUAAGAGAGAUUGUUUUUUGAAACAUCUGGUCCUAAAAUCUUAAAGGGUAAAAGUUUCGUGGGACCAUGAUAUUUGUGUGGAUAUAAAGCUUUUAAAGGUAAAGUGGGUAAAAUAAAAAAUUUUAAGUUAAAGAUGUUUUCAAAUAUAAAAAUAUGUCAUUAUUUUUAGAAUUGACUAGUAAGAAAAGUGUGUCAAUUUAAUUAAAUCGAAGGGACUAUAUGUUUUGCUCCAAAAACAUGACACAUAUUACCUCGACACUUUAGUAUUUUAAUAGAGCAAUUCAUGUCCCUAUUGAGCGGAGUUCAGUGUUAUUAUACAUUGUUAGAAGGAUUACAAUUGAACUUAAAGAAAAUAUUUAGAAAUUAUUCGUAUGACAUGUGGCCCCAUUAAUGUAAUCUUGUUUAUUAUCUUAUUUUUUAUCUACCUAAUGGAAAAAUAGUCAAUAAAUAAGUUUUGCUAGCGUUUGGACAUAUACAUUGUUUUCCACGUAAACAAAAUGACAUCCACAUUAAGAGGAGAGCCCAAUGAAAAGGUAGAUAACGAAUGACUCGUAACUAGGAGUGGCAAACGGGCGGAACGAUUAUGAGCGAGUAAAAAACGAGUAAUUUAAAAAAUGGAUAAAUUAUUCGACCCAAUAUGUAUUUGAAAUGGAUAAAAACGGAUUUUCCGACGGAUAACAUGCCUUAUUGAAUAUGAUCACUUUUGAAGAAUUCUUAGUCUCCCAAACAUGAAAAAUCCCCAUUUGAAUCUUUACAAAUAUAAAAGUUAAACACAUUAUUUAUUCAUUGAUUAUCUAUUUUCUAAAUGAAUAAUAUAAUUUUUAUUUAUAUUCAACUUAAUUUUAAAUUUUCUAUUAUUCAACUCAUUUUUUAAUGGUCACAUCUUCCAUAGACAUACUGCCCAGGCCAAGGCCAAGGCCCAUAGUUAUCGUAACAUGGGACCGGUCUUCCGUACCAUUCAUAACAUGGGCCCCCGAUAUGACCCUCGGAGCAUUGUCCACAACAAUAUCCUCGUGGAGGGUAUUGUUGAACCAUUGUUGGCUCUGUUUUUACCUCUGUUUUUAUAAUGAUGACAACCGUAGGCUUUUCAGGAUCUUUGGGCUUUGGAGGGUCUUUGAUUUCAAUGCUCUUAAUUACUCCACAUCCUUUACUACACAAUUUGUC